rnacentral:lncRNA from 1 species
UUUUUUUUUUUUGGUUUAGAUGAAUAAGGGAUUGCACAUUCGAUUAUAUAGAUAACUUCAAGUUGAGUUCUAAAAUUUGAACUACAAAACUUCUCCAAAUUACUCACAAAAGAUUAACAUCUCUAAUUUGAUAUUGGGUCAUUCGCACAUAACGGAGACAGGAGUUUAAAAACAGUGGGUCAGCUCAGCUAACAAAAUCAUAAUAAAAUACAACAGAAAAAAGAAAGGUCCAAACUUACCCCUAUGAUUUGCAAAAUUGUCUAAAAGUCACCCAGAUACAAGAAGUAUGGACGGAGUCCGAAACCUAAAUAAGCCACAAAAAAAUAAAAGUGAUCAAAAUAAGUCACUAUUCUAGUAAGUAACUAAAAUAGACUUAGUGGAAGAAAAAAUUCCAUUUUAUGCAUUAUUCCAAACGUUUUCCGUUAGUCUCAUAACGUGUAUAUUUUUAAUAUAUAACGGAACUAUUUUUUACACUUUGUAAAGUGGAAGACUAAUGGAAAACGUUUGAAAUAUUGCAUAAAACGAAAUUUUUUCUUCCACUAUGCCUAUUUUAGUUACUUACUAGAAUAAUGACAUAUUUUGAUCACUUUUAUCUUUUUGUGGCUUAUUUAGAUUUCAGACUCGUAUGGACGCGCUGGAACAUAUUCAUGCGGCAAAAAAGUUUGUUCAUUUUUGUCUGUUGCAUACAAGAAUUGACACAAAAAACUAUAGAAGGUUUGGACAUGGGGAAACGGAAAACACGUAGCCAGACCUUCAUCAGGCUUCAUGCGAAGAACACGAGAACUCCAUGCCACUUGAUAUUGUCAUCAGUUGCAUGUCUAGAAGCUGAAUUAGAAGCAAAUGCCAAAAAUUUCUAUCACGUAAUACAGGUUUCUACUUUGUUCCUUUUCUGAAAUAGGUCAAGAGAAGAGAAUUGGAAGCAUGACAACUUUAACGAGUGCCGAAGAGUUACUCCUGGGAAUUUCCAUAUCGGCAUUUAAUUUCUUCCCCUUCUAUAAGCCUCUCUACUGCAUCUGAAGGAAGGCCAACCAAUUCCAGCGUCUUCUCCCAGACUUUGUAAGAAGUUUCAAUAUUAUGGGCUUCUUCAGAAGCAUUUGUGGGACGACAAUCGUGGGAAAUGUAUGCACACACUGGCCAGUCAUCUGCUUUCAGCAUUUCACAGUACUCUGAAAUUUGAGGAUCUGUAGCUGCAAACAAGGUACUUCGAGAGCCUGCAGCAACCAACUAAUUUGAGUAAUAUGCAUGGAGAUUAUUAGAUAAAUAAUUAGACUGCACAUGCUGAAUAACCAAGCAACUAAAUAAAACAAGGGGCCACUAGAAGUCUAGAACUUUCCCUGGGACCAGCAUCUAAGGGAUGCACCAAACAAGAAUGCACGCAUAGCUCAGUUUUAAUCUCUUCUCCCAUUUGGUCUUUCUGAUGAGAUGCACUCCUGCCUUCUCCCUUUUUAUACAACUUGUUUGUUUAACUAAAAUUAACUUGCAUGGUCCUUCAGGUUUCUUUUAUAUGCUCUUUCACUCAUAUUCCUUUUGGUCAAAUUAUUCUUAGUUGAGUUGUGUAGUUUUCUUACCUUAUCUAAAAGUAUAUCAGUUCACAAUUGCAGAAAAUUAUCAAAUGAUAUUCUUACUUUCUGGAGUAUAGCAUACCUUCUUCAGCAUUGAAUAUAAAAUAGGGUAUUAGACGAUAGCCAACUUGCAAAAACUGAGGAAGAUCCCUCGCCUGCAAUUUUAUAUGCAAACUUGUUAAAAAGUAUCAUAUAAAGGAAUGAAAAGAACAGAAACUGAAAAGAAGAAAGUCAUAUCCAAGAAAUUUAGAACUCUAGCUCAAAUAGGGUUUUCUCAAAAAAAUUCUUAGGGGCAAAGGUAGACCAAAGAAGUAUGAAGGUGAAGUGAUUAGGCAAGAUAUGGUAAAUCUUCAACACACUGAGAACAUGACCCUUGCUUGAUAGGAGGGUGUAGAGGUUGAGAAUUAAGGUAGAGGGUUAGUAUGUAGCCGAGCAUAUUUCUUUUCCUUUCUCUUUGUAUUAGUAUUAUUCUUGUUUUUCAUUAUGUUUCAAUUUCUAUUUCUACAUAUUGUACCUUUAGCCUCGAUUAUCUUAUUAUCUUGUUGUAAUUUCUACUUGUUGCUUCUGCCUUUAUCGUCCUUUGAGCCAAGGGUCUAUCAGAUUGUCUCUCUGUGUAAGGUCUGCGUACAUUGGAUUACAUUGGGUUUGUUGUUACUCUUUAGGGAUUGGAAGCUUAUAACUCCCUCUGUCCCAAUUUAUGUGGUGUUUUUCGCUUUCUAAGAUCUAAUUAGACUAAUCAUUGAAACUAAAUUAGAUUAGAUCAACUCAAUAUUUUAAAAUUAAAAUUAAAAGUUACACAUUCAAAAACUAUACGAGAAGUACUACAAGUUGCAAUUCUUCUCAUGUCAAUAUGAUGAAAAUGUAUCUCAAGAUGUUGGUCAAAAUUUACUUGGUUUGAAUCUCAAAAAGCGUAAAGUGCUACAUAAAUUGGGAUAGAGGUCGCACCAAGCUUGCCUAGUGUGGGUUACCUCUCCUAUGUGGUUUGUGAGCUAUUGCAUAGGAGCGAAGGUUUUACCCUAUGCGCACCCAAAGGGUAGCGGCAGCGGGUUUCCCUUGUCAUCAAAAAAAAAAUUGGGAUAGAGGAAGCAGCAGAAUAAAUAAAGAUGGAGGCACAGGGGUACCACAUGAAGCAACGACAUCAUCUUAAUUGGCCUAUUUUGGCAUUUAAGUUGAGCAUGUUAAGGCUGAUUAGUGAAAGGCCAAGUCUAGUUGGGAUCAGAACCUCUUCUAGAGAAUCUUUUAAAAUGUAACCAUGUGAGGCUCUUCAAGUCAAACAGAUAUAUGUGCAUUAAAUAAUGGAAGCUGGAAGUUUUUCACAUGGAAUCGUUACAUGUGUAUCCAACCCCACCGUAUGCAAGUAUCCGAGUUGACUACGACUACCUUUUUAAUAAUCUCUAGUGUAUAUCAAAGGAUUUACACAAUUAAUUUGAAAAGAGGAUCUGUACAGAGUACUGCACCCAUAUCACUCACGUUUGACAUGGGUACAUCAAGACAAGGUAUGGCAAUAACAUUAAAGAUGGUAACUAGAGAAACAAAUAGCGAAGUUAUCAAGAACUUACAACAUUGGUUAGAACAAUUCCAGGAGUAUUACAUACUACACUUAUGCCAGAUUCAGCAGGUAGUCUCUUAUGAAGGAUGCUACUGAACAUAAUCUGCACUUCCGAACCACAGUGGAUUAGUUACUGGAGAGCAAAAUCAACAAAGCCGGAUUUUAUUAGAACUCAAAUGGAAACACAUACUAAGAAGAAGGAAUAAGAGCUUAGCAUCUUAAGUUCAAUUUUAACUAUCAUAAAUCCUAGAUGAUUUUAUGCUUGAAAUGAUUACUAAUAAGAAGCUAUAUACAAUGUGUUCUAUACUUGAUCUUUUGCUUCAAUGUACCCUGCCUGGUUGUUUACUGCUGAUGCAAGGCUUCCCAAUUUAUUAUUACAUCGAUGAUUAGAAGUGCACAAAAAAUUAACAAAAAAAGAGUACUUCCUAGAUGAACUUGCACAUUUGUAUUAGCGCAACUUUUGACAAGCAGAUGAACAUCUCCCUACAGAAAUCAAUUUUUGGAUCAACCUGUGGAAUUAAGAGAUUACAGUAAUAGCUCUUAAUGGACAUGCAGCAAAGUAUUGAAGAUGUGCCUUUGGAUGUUUGCAUCCCAAAUUACCAAAAAAUAAUGUCUUCUAGUUUCUGAUAACUCUUUGAUGGGUCCCAUCCAACAUAUUCAAAUUGGUUUUUUAUCACUACUCAAGAUGAUCUUGACCAGACUCCAGAGCGAACCCACUUUUAAGCACUUUAUGCCUAAUAGAUGUAAUAACUAUUGGAGUGAUGAUGGGCAAUUAAUCUCCACUAGUAUUUCCAUCAGCAUAAAUUGAGAGGAAAUAGGAGAGCUUCUGAAGGGUAAGAGCAACUAUUGGCUUUAGCGAAGCGGAAACAAAAGAAUUGUUCAAUAGGGAAGAGGCAUACCAUAUGGAAAAACUCAGGUACCUAAGCUUUAUUUACUAGGCAGAAUGCAACCUUCCUAAAUCGUGAAAAGAAAAAAUGAAAUAUAAUUAGGCAGCCACUUGUGUUAAGGUGUGCUGUGGUUGAACAGGUUGUAGCAUCUCAAUUAAUGCUAACACGACAAGCAAAAGACCAUUAGCAAGUAAUAGCUGAUAACCUUUUAGAAAAUACCUGAGCAAGCUUGCUGCCUCCAUAUCCCACUACACUGGUGUACUUUCUCUUUCCGGAUACAACAUUCAUAUCUUCUGGAUCGACAAACCCAACAUAGUGCAUCUACACAGAUGAAAUAAACUAUAUUCCUGUCAGUAGCCGUAACAUAAGCCAUAAACUUAAGUGGAGGCAAUCACUUAAAUUACAAGAUAAAUUUAUUUCAAAGCAACUACAUCCACCCCUCCUCAAACUUAGAGACUUGGUUUCGUUGGAGAAUAGCCUCCAUAACUACUGCUCCGUUCUUUUAUUUCACUUUCAACCCCAAAUUUGGCAUAACUAUAUAGGAUUUAUUAGCUACUGCGUUUUGCUUCAUCUUUUUUCAUAUCCAAUAUAAUGAUUUAGGUCAUAAAACCAAUAAGCAAGUAACCUAGACCAUAAAAUGAACCGACAUGUUCAAGUAAAAGCAAGACUAAGACAAAGCCUGACCAAAGAGUUACCAACAAUCAAUAUUUUAAAUUCGAACUAAGAGAAUAAAGAAAGGCAAGUUCCAACAAGCAUACUAAGCAAAGAGAAUCAAGAAUGAAAAUAUGGAUACAUCAUCUUUCAGGCAUAGCAUUAUAGUCAAAUUGAAUGAGUAAAUCAAACAAUAAUUAUCACCCCAAAUAAAUUGUCCGAAAGGAAAAGUUCAAGCUCACAAACUUUUAAGGGCUUUCGACAGUUUUUAAAACUUGAAGUCAAAAUUACUCUUUAUCCACCACCACGUUCCAUUAUGCGGCAAAGUUCAGCAAGUCCUAAUAGUAUGUAUCUUUUUUUUCCUUAUAUAUUAUUAACACAUACACCAUAAAUAUUCAAGAGCAAAGAUCUAGGACAGACGACUUCAAUAUCCCAACCGGUAAAAUAUCUUUUUUCUGCUCAGACCGUUCAUGAGGAAGGCAAAGGCUUCCAAAACAAAAAGGCUGAAAUAAUGAAGUCUAUGCUAAACCACCUCCAUAUUGCUGUAUAUCAUUACUUUGGAAAAGCCUGUUGUUUAAGCUAUAUCAAAUUAAUGCAUACUAGAUAAAAUGUUUUCACCAAUGCUGAAACUUCAGUUUGCAACUCAUUUUAAAGUAUCCAUAUCAUGGAAAAUCAAGAUCAUUCAAAGCAGUAACUGAGUGCCGAAAGUGAGGAGACAAACAAUUGAGUGUAUAACAUAUCCAUCUAUAGCGGGGGAAUAUUGCUAAGACUUACAGUAGAGUUUACGUUAAUAAUUCGGCUUGGGGAACCUCUAAUAAGUGAUGGUAAAAGCAAUAUGGAAAGCAUAGCCGGAGCUAGAUGAUUCACUUGCAUGUGUUCCUCAUACCCAUCUUUUGAAAACUUCUGUGGUUCUGUAGAAAACAACACAAUUCAUUAGCCUAAGUUAGAAGGGCAGAAGCAAAGCCUCACAAGUCUCCAGAUAAAAGAAUGUGCACUCACUCAGCUAUCAAUCAUUCAGUUUCCAUCUAAAGGAGAAAACAGGUAAAAAGCUGUACCAAUAUUUCUAUUGCAGACACAAUGUAUUGUCCCUGUUAAAACUGCUAAAUGCACCCCCACUAGCCAAGCAUUAGUGCAUUAGCAAAGGAAAACCCUAAUGCAAGCCAAAGCCAAAGCAUGAAGUCAGGCUAAGGCAAUUAGAUUAAUACAGGUGACCAACAUACGAUUUUCUGGUUACCUAUUAUCAUGAUUGAGAGUUCUGGUACACACGUGAAUGUGAACAUGAUAAACAUCUAAAAUUGUAGUUCUUAAAAGAAAAAAUUUCUAGGAACAUAUAAUUGCCAAUCUGAAGGUGCAUAUUGAAAUAUUCAAUCAUAAACCUAAAGUUGCUACAAAUCUACAAUAACCAAUUCCAACAAUACACAACACUAAGCUGUGUUUUGACCAAGACAUGUAGACAAACCGUUGCAACUCGUCCUAGGAUAGUAGAACAUUUUACAUUAAUUUACACUAUAAAUAAUGCUUGAACUGAACUCAUAAGAUGUAAGCAUGACAAGGUGAUUAUCCAGUAAAAGACCCAGAUGCUGCUCUACAGGCUCUUCUACUUCAGAAUCUGACAUGAGACAUCCUUCAUUUUAUCCAUAUCAAGCAAGUAACUAAUUGAAUAGAAUUUCUCCUUCUGAAUCUUUCUAUAACAUUCCAUCCAAAGACUAGAGAGCCGAAAAGAGAUACCUUGAUGAUGUUCUUUCUUUUGAUCAAGGUAUAAAAUUUUAUAAACAAAGGGCAUUAAACACCCCCUAAUAGAAGAAGUAUACCAAAAAGUAGAAAUCUUACAAACUUUGCUGAAGUUCUUAUUUGACAUUAAUCAUAAAUCAUAUUUCAUGUUUACCAGGUAGCCCUAGUGAAUUCCAUAACUUCCGACCUGUCUGAAGCUGGAAAUGGACCAUUUAAGAUUCAUUAUUAUCUCAAGUCUCAACUAUUGAAAAAUUCUUAAGACUAACCAUGUAGAAUAAGAAGGGCUUGGGACUUCCAUGUUGGAGGUCUCAAGUUCGAAACCCCUUGCCAGCGAAAGCAAGGGGUUUGCCUUCUAGGUCGAACUCGUCGCACCAGGCUUGCCUAGUGCGGGUUACCUCUCCUAUGUGGUUUACAAGCUAUUGCAUAGGAGCGGGGUUUUACCCUGUGCGCACCCAAAGGGUAGCGGCUGCGGGUUUCCCUUGUCAUAAAAAAAAAAGAAUAAGAAAAUCACUGAUGUGUUUGGUGUUGCAUGAAUCUGACAUAUACACUAACUCUUUUUUUAAUGAUUUGACAUAUACACAAACUUAACACAUACAAAGAUUUAAGGCCUUGAUUUUCAGAGGCUUAGUUACAUGGAAACAGGUAUUUCUAUAAAGCUCCACAUAUACCAUAAACUUCAAAACUAAGGAAGCAAACAGAAAACUUGACCACAUGAUGAAAAUGCUGAAACAUGCAAACACGCUAUGACAUUUGACAGAUUAGAAUUGGAUAUCAAGUUAGUAAGGGCAAGCUUUUACUUUUUAUCUUUAAGUAAGAAAGGCUUCAUGAUGUAGCUGAAACCUAAUAGUUGUCUCAAGGUGUCACAGCUCAAGUAUCACACAAGAAGAGUGCACAUUUUGGUUACUGCCAGUUAAUAAGAAGAAACUAAUACCGCACUAACCUCCAAUUGAAAAUAUGCCGGCAUUAUUGAUGAGAACAUGUACUGGUGCCAUGCGGGCAUUCCAUGCUUCUGCGAAUCGUGCAACAGAAUCCAAAGAGAGAAGAUCAAGCUCCAUGACCUUGCAACAAAUGUGAAUUAUAUUCAAUUAGGACAAUAUUUUCAUGACAUUGAACAAGAAUCAUUAACACCAACUUAAAAAUUCUUGAAACUUAAACAUUUGUAAUAAACUAGCAUACAGCUGUACUACUUCCUAGCCAUAUCAUACUUGAUACUACUAUGAGAUGAAAGAUAAUAUACCUCAAUGUUGAGUGGAAGGCCCUUGCCAGACCAUUCUUCCUGCCAUUGCCGUACUAACUCCUGUGCACGAUUGGUGCUUCUGACAGCCAUAACAACAUGUGCUCCUGCUUCUGCCAACUGCCUGUCUAAUGCAAAAGCAGAAUUUUUGUACAUUAGAGAAAAUGGACUAGAAAACUUCUUCCAAAUCCUUGUAACUGAAAGAUGAGUAAGAAGAGAUUAACAGAUUCAACAGAAUAAUGAAGAUAACAAUAUAAAGAAAGGGCACAUAGAAAAUCAUAUGGUGUAACAUUAUUUAUCACGGAAGAAUAAUGCAUCAGACCCUGAUAUGUGGAUAUCCUUAGGAUAAUCAUGUUAGGUAACACAUACUGUGGGAUCAAGGAUGUAGAUUGGAUGAGAAAUUACUCGCAGCCAGAGAUGAAACAAAGAUCUACUCCUCUUUUGCUUUGAGUUAUCAAAUAUGAAACAAAAGACUAUUCGCAGAAGAGAUAGAAAAUUGAAUGAGUCUUAGUAAAGCUAGACCACAAUUAGAUGGAUCAACUUUCAGUACUUUUCAGCUCAAAGGCUAUCAGCCACCAAAUAAGGAUUAGAGAAAGCAAAAAAGGAAACACUGAUAAGGGAAGAAGAUAAAUUCUGAUUCAAUUUUCUUUGUUUCAGGAGCACAAAAGUUAUUCAUAUCUCCUCCUUUUACCUUAAAUAGGUAUUAGAAUAUGCUUGGAUUCCAUUCUUUCAUUAGCAGUUGGCAAGUUCAAAGUUAUUCUAUUUAUUUGUUAGUUAUAGAUAAUUGGCUAAAUGCAUUUCACAGCUUUCUCACAGCAAUAGUAAUAAAAGGUUGGACUGUUUACAUGUUCCAGAUUGUUUUCCAACGGGAAUCAAGGCAAGAAUAAUUGUUUCAUCAGGCACAUAAAUAGAGCAAGUUAUUUCAUCCAAAAGUUUAAAUGUGAUAUCCCAAAAGGGCAUCUUUCUCAAUAAGGAAAUAUCCAAACUUACAGAAAAUAGCAUGUUACUGACGAAACAUUAAAUAACAAAUCAUUAUCUCUUUCAUAGAGCAAUCUCAUAAGCCAUCUUGCACUCUUGAAUGGCCCUAGAGUCGGGAUUCUGUUUCACAUUUUUCAUCCUCUUGAACUACUAAAGGCACCAGAACACUUCCCACAUGAUUUGAUAUGUAGCUGAUAUCAAGUGUGUGGUGCCAUUUACCGUGAGAUGUCAAGCUUCAAAUAAAAAGGGCAUUACAGGAGAUACAAAUACUUGACAAAUGUGAAGACAUUGUUUCCCAAGCUCUACACCAUUUAAUGGUACUUUUCGGUGAGUUACAGUCAGUUAAAGAAAUUAAAAUUGAAUCAAAUUCAAUAUGAUAUCUCUUAGAGACAACCAAAUCAGAGGAGGACAAAGAUUGCUAGCAUUAUUGGGAAUUAGAAGGAACACUAAACGCUCGGGUCGAUACAUAUGACGAGAAUAUUCUUGGCAUUCCAAGCAAACAACAACCGUAUCCAUUCCUGUGACCAGAUGGUGGAGUGCCUAAAGCAACCUACUAACUCCGAAUAUGACCUCAAUGCCAAGAUUUUAAAGACACCAAAUGACCCUCCCUUUUGAAAUCUGUUCCCCUUCUGUGGUAAUCCAAAAUGGCUAAUUAAAGUCCACCAGGAAAGGUAUUAAACUACAGAGUUUCUUAAACUCGAAAGCAAACCUAGAAUAAAAAUAAAUAACCAGUUCUAUUCCCCUGUACAUGCACAACUGCAGCUGAUUGAAAGUCAGUUUAGAAAGUUUCAUCUAGGACAACCAUUGCAAACAAGUAUUACGAGUUAGUAAUGUAUCCCAGUAUAAAGUUCUGUCUGCAAGGUGAACAACUGCAAGUUUCAUACUAAAGUGCACAGUGCAGCUUCAAAUAGCCAGUAACUUCCUGAGCAACAUAUCCUAUUAAAUUGAGACUUCAAUGAGAAAAGGGAAUAAACACCACAAAAUUCAUUUCUCGGUCUUCUUUUGUUGACAAACCACAAAACAAAGAAUAAAAAAAGGAAACAAAAAUCUAGAUGGCACUUCAAAACAAGGCAUUAUCACAAUUCAAAUUAGUUUAAGCUCUUAUAACGGCGGACUCUAAAAGCUAUUUCUCCACUAGUUCACUAUAAUCAAUAAGCAAAUCCAUCUUCCUUCAGAAAUUACACAAAUUAGCAGCAGAAUCUCAAAUUUUCUUCAAGCAAAGAGUAAUAAGCAUAAAGUAAAGCAUACCGAGCGAUUUCACGGCCGAUACCGCUAGUAGAACCAGUAACGAUGCAAGUAAGGUCGUUAAUAGGAGGAAGAGGCAUAGGAUUCUGCAAAUGACUGGCUAAUAUCCUUUGAAAAAUCAUCUCGUAAACCAAAUAGAACCAUCCUCGUAACCAUUCCAUCCAACCUAAUGCUUUUUUCUUCGCCGUCUUCAAUGGCUGCUUAGCUUCACUAGAAGUUGUAUUCUUCUUCUUCUCCGCCUCCUCGUUCGCCAUCUCCUUUCUCGUUGAUUCUAAGCUAAACAGAUUCUCUCCCUCGCACCUCACUCACUUUGCUCCGCAACUGUCGUUAGUGAUGUUUACCUUUCCUUUUUCCAUUAGUAUUAUAUAUAUACGGAGUUUUUGUCAUUUUCUUUCGCUCUCACGGGACUCGUAUAAAGAGAGAUGGACCGUAUAGAUCCGUUCCAACCACUCUUUAUUUUUGUGGCUGACCUCAUAUGUGUGGUGAGAUUUGAAAUUGUUUAGCACACCACCUCUUUAUUUUUAAAAGAAUAAAUAAGAUCCUCAUUCUGAUAUAAACGAUCUUUUUGAGCGUGAUUUGAUAAUAAAUUAAGUAGAAGAAAUUUUUUAAUUUUGUGGUCUUAAAUUAAAAAUAUAUAUUAAAUGUAUUAAAAUAUUCUUUAAUUUUAUGAGUGAAAAGUUAUAAUUAAAGAGUUGAUAAGAAGAGAAUGAUAUAUUUUUUAAAUGAACUAAAAUAACAAAUAGAACAAACAAAUUAUAGCAAAAGGAGUAAUGAUAACAAUAAAAAUGGCGCUGACCCACAUAUAUGGAUCGAUCAUGGUGCUGUAUCAUAUGACAAUGAAAUUAUGGACAGACUAUGGAGAAAUUGGACAUAAAGUCAAGAUAGUCGUUUGCCAAGGAUUUAUCCCUCAUCUCCCACACCUAACACUAUUAUUUCCACAUAUUUGGUGCCCCCAUGGAUUUACUCUCAUCUCCACGUUUUGGGCACGUCACCAUCUCACUAGAGUGUGAUUUCGGCUUCUUAGGAGCUAAAGGUUGUUUGAUAGUUGAUUUAGAAGUGAUUUAUACAUGUAUUAAAUUCUGCAUAAAUAAUAACAUGUUUUAUAGUUGCUUAGAAGUUUAGCUUUUUCAUAAAUAAAACUAAUAAAAUAAAUAACUGAUCCCUACCUAAUAUAAUACACAAAUUCUCUGCCUUCCAAACACCUAAAUUGUCUUACGUUUCGACAAAAAGUUGGCACAGGCAGGGGGUUAAAGGGGGGUGCGUCUUCCCCAGAUCUGCCAAAAGCAAUCAAUUGUCACAUGCAAGAAAUGACAUAACAUCAGUUGCACAACUAGUAUAGUUUGAGAGACGAGAGUGGGUGGCGCAACAGUCAUGGUAGGUAGCUGACAAGCAUGGUUCAAAUGAUAAUAAUGUGGAGUUAUACUCGACCAACAAAAACUUGGAAAAAUAUACACUUCCUUUGGCGCUAGUAGUCAAGCCAUCAACUAACACAGGAAUGGAGAGGAGCCCGGAUCUUAUGUCAUGAAUAGACAUUCAUACAACAAUCAAAGCAUUUGGUUCAAUGAAACCAUGUCAAAUAUUUUACCUACAUCAACAUACACACACUAAAUGAAAGUCAGGGCCAUGCAAUUCUGUCAUUCAUGAGGUCACAUGGUUUCAAUUUGCAUCUGGUGAACACGUACAAGAUGCCACCAACUUUCCUACUCCAACAGACAAGAAAUUAUUUCCCCCUACAUAGAAAAAAAACAUGAAAUAAGUAAAACAGCUGUAACGUCCCCCUCCUUAUCACCUCAGGUGGAGGUAAGGGAGAGUUGGAAAGAAAAACGAUCAUAACAAGUGAACAGAUAGAUAUAAUCGCUAUAUAUGUUUAUAAACUGUGAUUUUAGGUGCAUCAGAAAAAUAGAAUAACAAUGACAUACGAGUUCAUCAUCAGAGUAAUAUUAUCGCCUUUCAGAAGAAUCCGCCCUGCAUAAAACCACAGAGGAGAUGAAAGUUAGUUCCUCUGGUAAUUAUGGAAGAGGGUAAGGCUAGAGUCAAGGCAAUGGUCACCCACCCAACUGCUUGCUGGUUUUCUUCUUCACAUUAACUUCCUCAGCAUCAUCCAGAACUAAAUUCAUGUACUCAUCAAAACCCUAAACAACACAAACAAAUUUACCUAUUAGUCAACAAGUACCAGACAAAUCACUGUUAAACUGCGUAGAGCAGUAGCAUGGAAGGAUAUAGAUAUAGGAUGCAAAUGAGUUAGGUACCUAGCUUGAUGACUUUUCUAGCCAAAAGGAUGCAGGUGAUGCAAGAGGCAAAACCAACAUUCAAUUCUUUUGAUUUAUCCCAAAGGAAAAAGAUGCAAAAACGCAGUAAUUCAAGUGCAUCCAUUUGAACUCAUUUGCUCAUUUAUGAGUGUCAAUCAUUUGCAAACAACCUUUGUCAAAAACUACUUCACACAAUGACCAGAAACAGAAAAAGAGCUGCUUCUUAAGAAUUGACCAAUACAGGUACAUGACACCAAAAUAUGCUUACUAGUUAAUUCAAAAAACUUUUUUGAGCAUAUAAUGCGCAACAACUGAUGAUCCAGCUAUUUCCCGGAGUCUAAACAUAUCUAAUCCCUGGUUGAGAAGCAGAAAACAAUUUAUAAUCCAGAUUAUUCUUUCGCAUCCAGAACCAGCUUAAGAAAUCCAGUAUAGAUUUUUUCUUCGUAAGGUAAAGAGAAAUCCCAACUAUGGAUUAUUCAAAAAGAACAAAUAUCAAGGUCUAAGAAUUCAAACCGAAAACCUUUCAAGUUGGUAUAUUUUCACAUUCACAUCCAAGGUAAGCUUUUGGUUUUUUUUUUUUAAUAAGAGACUGUAAAAUCUUCCAAACAAAGACUAUUAUAGUACAAACCUUUAUAUGUUAGGGUAUGUACAUCGGAAGAUCUACAGAGCCAGAAUAGAUUUGGUGACUAAACUAUCCCUAGUGAUCACAGGAAACUUACAGGGGCCCGGGGUUACAGAACAAAACACAGCACUAAAUAUUACAAUUACAAGGAUGAAACAUAUAUACAUGCUUCAAUUAUCAGAAAAAAAAUUCAAAACUUAAAAAGCAAGCAAAGGAGCAAAAUUUACAGCACAACAACAUUUACACAGCUUGCAGAAAAUACUCCUCCAUUCAAUUUUAUGUGAUACGCCCUCCUUAUUAGUCUGCUCCAAUAAGAAUGGCACCUUCCUAAAUUUGGAAACAAUUUAACUAUUCUAUUUACCCCUUAAUUAAGGCAUGUUGUUAUAGCCAUACAUAUGCCACGGCAGGUUUAAGACCACAAGUUCCAAAAGUCUUACUUUCUUGAACUCUUAAAUUGAGUCAAACACAACAUAAAUUAAAACAUAGAAAUUUUUAAAAUGACCCAACCCAUCACAAAUCUGCACAAACUAACAAAACGUCAAAGUGAUUGACUUCAUAUUCACUAGUCAAAUCCUAGAGGCCUUAUGAUACAAAUCUGCUCACUAUACAAGCUCUGUAAAACCAGGCAACAAAUAAUAAUGAAGAUAAGUCAGCAACUAUUACAGUAAAGUUUGAGUGACUAAUUCUUUUAGAAUGGUAAGGUUGUAUAAAUGAAGCCCCAAGAUUGUGCGAAAAAUUACAUUAAAUUCAGUUCCUUAACAAUUACUGUAGGGAAGUGAGAAAAUCUAACAUCCUGUCAACUGUAUUAACAUAUUCUAGUUUUACACUUUACACCAAAAACCCAAAAGGGAAAUACAUCUGAACUUCAAAAGUUUGAAUGUUCCAUAUUUGCUCUCAAAACUUGAAUUACUAAUUCAAACUACUCGGACUUAAGUCCAUCCCAAAAUCAAGCUACAACUAUCAGUGCCAUAAGAAACUAGAGUUAUGUGACAGAAAAAAUAAAAAAAAAGUUAGGCCUUGCUUUGCUCUAACAGGAACAGCAGAACUAUCCAGGCAUACAUCUUGUGUAGAAGGACCCAAAUGACAGAUUGUGAGCCCAACAUGCACUGGCAAUACAUAUACAUAAUCAUGAGCUUACUACAGCACACACGACAUUUCCAUGACAGUUUCUUUUUUUUCAUCCAGUAUAUUCAGUAUGACUUUCUAGGCAUACUUCACGGAUAAAAGGAACUAAUAUGGGUUUAACAAAUAUGGACUACCAAAAUUUCUAUCAUGAAUUUACUAAAAGCACGCACCAGAUUUUUUAUUGGCAACUGAUAAUUACUGCAAGAUGGUUUGGGCUCAGAGUUGAAUCCAUCGAUACAAAUGAAGGUAAUAUGAUUUUUGAAUACAAAUUUGGUGAAAGAAUGUAUUUAACUUGGAAAAUAUCUAAACUUCCAUAAGCUGGAUGCUUAGAAUGCCCCAACCAUGGUAUUGACAUGGAAAUUGUUUUUUUCUUUGUUUCUCUUUAUUUUUCUCUUUGUACUGCCUUCCAGUUUGUUGGAAAAUUUAAUCCACAUUUAUAACCAAAUCUUCACUUUUUUUUAUUGAGAACUCCAUUACAAAAACUAAGUCCUUCCACAAUCUACUAAAUUGAACAUAGCACAUAAUAACUUUGUAUAGACUCUUGAAAGCUUUACUUAAGAUCAAACCUAUCCUACAUCUAAAGAAGGUAUUUGAUUACAGAUAGUUAACCGGUGUUUUAAACUAGUCAUCAGAUAUUACUAUUUACUAGUCCAAAGUUUAGCAGAAAAUGCAAACAUGGAAUCAGUAAAGAAAUUAGAAGUUCAAGAUAGAAGAAAGUGAGGACUAAAAAGCUUUCACCACUAGCUUAUUAAGGAAAUACAUGUCCCUAUUUAUAUGGUAAACCACACAAGACAAAGAGUCAACACUGAUGUUUCCCUCUUUGAAUCCUAGUGACGCAAUACCCAAACCUCAAGUUGGAAAUGAAUGGUUCUACACCUCCUUAUAAAUACAAGUCAUGCCAAUUGCCAGACACGAACUUUAUGUUACAAAUUUCUGGCACCUAUUACACAUUAAGCUAGAACCUACAUAAUUCCAAACACCCAAAAGAAAGUAUGCAUUCUAAUAGCUAGAACUGUUGGUACAUAGUUUACAUAAGGAUCUCUGAAGUAACACAUAUCUUCAGGAACUUUAUAAAUCUGUAUAAUUUAAUUUUUCUGAUAAGUAGCAUAAAUGAUUAGACCUACAAAUUAAUGGCUAUUCUCAUUCUUAGUGGUUGAUGGAUUACUCUCCACUCCACCAGGUCAAGAGUUCAAUGGUGGUAUGCUGGAAUACAUGAUCAGAUGAUUAGAACUAGAAGAGGCACAUGAUUUGUCUGUGCUAUUACUCAAAAGAUAACUUAGGAAACUCCCUUUAUUAAGGGAAACAGUGGCGAUUUAGAGUGUGAAAGUGCAGGGAGAUGAUUAAAUGAGUAGUUAAUGGAAAGACCUAACAACCCUUGGGGAAUUAUCUGGGAAAACACAUAAUGCAACAUUCGCAAUGCAACUACUUUGCUGGGGUAAAGAAACUUACAAUGAUACGUCCUUCAAUCCUCAGAUCCUUCUGUUCAAAAAGCCAUAUUUGAAUCCGAGCUUUCUGUAUAUAAUAAUUUGCACGUCAAUUUUAAGAACAUUGAGAUCCUAAUAGCAAAAAAAAAAAGAGGAAUAACUUACGCUCUGAAGAAACCUGAAAAUCAGGUUCUGCAACAAACAAAAGAAAACACGUUAUCCAAAAUGUUAGUGCCGAGUGAAAAUGAAAAAGUUAAACAGUGAAGAUGAGGAAGAGUGAACGAACUUACAAUGGGCUGGGUCAUAAUCCUUUGAACUUUGGUGCUAGCCAUGGCUGAAAUUCCUGUUUCUCCGAUCAACUAAGCUCCUUUUUCAGUCUCAAGGAAAGCAGCUAAACCCUAGCAAAUACCCUAAGCCGUGAAUCGAAAUGGCGCCUAAUGCCGUAGCAUAUACAAAUAUGAAUUCGGGUUAGGGCUCGCGGAAAACGUCUCUCUUUUGCAUCUGGGCUUUUAUUUUGUUUUCAAUGGACAGCACGGGUAAUGGGCCUGCCGCCUGCCCCAUCCACUUGUAUUUCACGAUAACACAAGAAUCAUCAUUUGUAAAAUUACCUUUUUAUAAUAAUCUAAUUAGUCAAAUUUCUAUAUAUUUUAAUCAAUUUCAUUCUAUAUGAAAGAGAGUUUGUCUUGAACGAUUAAGGGUAUAUUUUGUAAUUUCCUUAUUUAGAUUGUCAUUUAAAGUCCUUUUUAAAUUAUCUAGCUUUGAGUUUCCAUGUGUUUCAACACCCACUGAAAAGGAUCCAUGUGGUGGAUCUUAUCAGAGAUUUUAUGUUUCAACGAGAAAUCUAAAAUGUCAAAUUCUUAUGAGCUUGGGCAAGAAAUUACAAUAUAAAGUUGAUAAAUUUUUUUGUUCUGUCAUUUUCUCACAUAUUUUGCUUACCCCUCCUAAAGUACUCAAUCAAUUCUAUCAUAUAUUAUUUUAAUUAUCAUAUAUGUCUAAUGUCAUAUAGGUCUGAAAAGAUUGAGUUAAACUCUUGAAAGUAAGCUAUCAUAUAUUCUUUACUAUCAUAUUACGGAAUAAGCUCAUAGAUUUCGUUACCUUGGGCCCUGUUUUUUUAAUAUUUAAUUAAUAAAAUAUAAAUAUCUUUUGAAAUUUGAAUUUAAAUUGUUGUUUUAUACUAACAUUUGAUAUAUCAACAAGUCAAUAUAUAAUAGGUUUUAUUUAAAUGCCCACUAAACUUCCUGAGAGGCUGGUAACCACUAAUUAACCACCUAUAAAUUACAAUUUUUUUAAGAAUAUACAGCUACACAAUGCGAGUUUCUGUUUUAACUUCAAUAGUUAUUUUGUCUUCCCUUCAUGAUUCUAGUUUGGUGCAAUUUUUAUUUUUUUUAGUAACUGAGGUGUUCGAACUCUACAUAUGCUUAGACAAAUGAGAAAAAAAUCACUUAUAAACUCACUUCAUUGAUCAAUAAGACACACGCGACAAUUUGGUGACUUUUUUAGGAAAAAAUGUUAGUACUUACUUGAGCAAUAGAGAAUAUAUAGCAAGGAAAUGAGCUAAACUCAAAGUACUGUUCUAUUGAACUUAAUUAUUUUCAUUCACAGUUUUACACAUACUUACACUAAUUGGACAAUAUAAAGUCACCUGAAAAUGCUGAAAACACUCGUAAAUGUCUUAUAACUGAAGCACUAGUACUACACAGAAGAUGAAAAAGUUUUCUUUCGGUGGCCUUUUUUUUUUAGACGGAACUAGAAUUUUGAGUUUAUACAUACAGAGUAAAUUUUGAACACAGAGAGUCUCACCAAAGCUACUCUGUUCUCCCAAACUCGUAAGCAGAACUGUACCUCUGCUUUGAAUUCUUCUAAUUAGUAAGCAAUUAACGUGCCCGAUUAAGCAUAUUAACAGAUUCUUGCCUCUGCAGCAACCUGUCUUGAUUGAUUUUCUUAAUGAAAUCAUCAAAUUUCUUGUUGGACUCCUCUGUAGUAACAGAAAUAUCUCCUCUCAAGCCCCCAAUUCGAGACAUCGAUAAAGCAUCGUUAAAUGUCAAUGAUUUUUUCAGUUCCUUUUUCUUCGUGAUCGCCUCCCAUGUUGCCUCUAAUGAAUCACCCUCUAAUUGCCCUUCUUCAAUAUUUUCUUGAUAAUUAGUUCUUGUAAUUGUCUCAUGAUCUGAUAUAUGUGGACUAACGAUUUCACGGGCCUCAGUCAAAUGAGAUAUGUCUCGAAAAUUAUGCAAUGUUUGUUGACUACUAUCAAUUUUGGCACUUACCCGAUCCCAACUUGUUUGAGAAUGAGGCAGAGUAGUUUUUGUUUCUGUUGUUUGUGCGCUAUUAGCUUUAACCCUUAGUCCAUCCCUACUUAUUUGAGACCGAGGCAGAGUAGUAGUAGUAGUUGUUUUUGGACUACUAUCAAUUUUGGCACUUACCCGAUCCCAACUUGUUUGAGAAUGAGGCAGAGUAGUUUUUGUUCUGUUGUUUGUGUCGCUAUUAGCUUUAACCCUUAGUCCAUCCCUACUUAUUUGAGACCGAGGCAGAGUAGUAGUAGUAGUUGUUUUUGGACUACUAUCAAUUUUGGCACUUACCCGAUCCCAACUUGUUUGAGAUUGAGGCAGAGUAUUUUUUGCACUAUUAGCUUUGGCCCUUAGUCGAUCUCUACGUGUUUGAGACUGAGGCAGAGUAGUAGUUGUUGUUUGUGGACGGUCAAGUUUGGCCUUUAGUCGCCCCCAACUUAUUUGAGACUGAGGCGUAGUAGUUGUUGUUGGCAUAUCAUCUUGAAUAUCUGGAUGCGAAUUGUAGCGAUUGAAGAAAGACAUAAGGGUGUCCAUUGCAAUUACUGAAUUAGUUCUAUUUGGCAUAUACUCCUCUUUUUCUUGAUGAUGUGCUUGUGGCUGAAUUUGGACCUCAUCAUAAUCAACAUCCUUUUCAUCUAGAAAAAUAUCGAUGAAUUUCUUGAUUGUGUGUUGAAAUUUGGAGAAAAUUAAGAUAAGAAUGACAACAGAGUUGAUAAAAAGGCAAAUAUAAAAUGGAGAUGACAAGAAGCUCUUCAAAUAAUUCAAGAUUUCACUUAAAUUAACAAAGAACAUGUUAAAUAAGUAAUAAGGACUAAUAGUUUUUUUGAGCAUGAAGAAAGUAGAAAUAAGUCCUGUUGAUAAGAGAAGAAGCUCCAUGGUUAAUCCAAACUUUAUCAAGGAUGCCAUGGAGCAAGAAAAAAGUGUUGUUGGUUAAGUCUAAUGGGGUGGGGGGGUUAAGUUGUUUAAAAGAAAUGCACUUAUAUUAAGAGAAUUAAGUGGAAUGAUUAGAGUAGGGAUUUUCUUUACAGGGUAGAUAGGGAAGAGACAGAAAUAUAUUGAGUACAAUGAACACUCUGCUAUAGACCCACAGAAUAUAAUGAUCAAGUAAGGUUGAUAGAGGCCUUUUAAUAAGGUGACAAUGAUUGAAAUUAUUGCCCUACUUUUCUACCCUUUUAACUUAAUUAAUCUUUCUUUCUAAGCUUUCUACUUUUUCUAGUUGUGUUUGUGUGGGACAUAGGAGGGGGUUGAUGCACAAAGAAAGGAAUAAAUUGCCUUGGAGCCUUCUUGAAUGGUGUCUUAUUUACUUCAAGAAUACGUUGAUCAAUAGACUGAGCUACGGAGGGUAAAAAAUGAGGGGAUUUCCGUAACUAAUUUAAACCAAACAAGUUGAUUCCCUUGUCCAUAUAAUUUCCAAGGUUCCAACAUAUGAUAGUGAAGAAAUUGUCUACUAUUUUUAUCUCUAUUGGGAAUUGAAUGUAAGACAUUCAAAUUUUCAACUCGCUUCAUUGAUCACUAGAUCACAUCCUUAGCUACUUCGAUGUUCAAUUGUCAUAUUUGAAAAAAGAAAAACAAAUAUUUAACUACUAAGAAAGCGAGAAAAGGAGGUUCAAUUAGGGUUAGUUCAGAAAGAUUUUGAAGUAUUUCUAUUCAAUAUUUGGUUGCUUAAAAUCCUAUGUCAAUAUCAAACCUAAUUAAAUUAUUAUGAUUAGACCUAAUUAAACUAAUAUGAUUUCUCUUUGCGGGUCAAUAAGUUCUAUUUGAUCAACUUCUAUAGAGAAAUUGAUAACUUCCUUUGUGUCUUUAAGAAAUCUUCAACAAUUUAAAAAUACAUAAAAAUAAAAUAUAGUAAAUUAGUAAUCAUAAGAAAUCUUCAACAAUUUAAGAAUACAUAAAAAGAAAAUAUAGUAAUAGAAAAAUGCUUGUCGAUCAAUAAAAUACAUUUCGGUGUAAGAUUUCAACUAUGAAUGGAACUUCAAAGCACAUAAAUUAUUCAAAUCCUCUCCAUUUUUCAAAUUUAUUAUGGGUGGACAUUUCAAAAUGAUAAUAGGAACUAUAUAUGAAUGGAAUGACAUAUAUCUAAAGGUAAAAAGUAAGAAAAUAAAAUAAAACCAAGGUAAAAGCAAUAUACAAAAUAGUAGGCCUUUUACAUUUUACGGUAUAAUUCAUAUAAUAUAUGUGAAAUAUGUAUGUAAAUAUCUAUUUCAAUUCUUUUUUCUCUAAAAUAAAUUUUUUUUAAAAUUCCUUUUUCUCUGAGUAUCUUACUCUGCAUAUCAAAAUUACUUAAUUAUACCGAAAAAUCAAAAUCGAAAUAUCAGAAGAAAAAAAAAACCUACCCGAUAAUGAGAUGUAUACCAAAUUAUACACCCCUAGAAUUAAUAUUUUGAAAGUUGACAUCCACUAUUGUAUGAGAUAUAUUAUUUGUUUAAAUGUCUCUCAUGUUGUUGUCUAUGGAAAUUCAAAUGAAGGGGUCACAUAACUUUGUCCUUCUUUCACAUGAAAAUAAUAUAAAAGGUAAAGGUGGCUAAAAUCCCAUUGCCUUAGGUCUCGCCUGUCUGGUAUUGAGGAACACAUAUUCCCCCUCUAUUUGAUAAGUCUAUUUCUUAUUUGGAUUUAUCAUCAACUACUCCAUUAAUAUUGAAUACUUCCAUUUAUGAGAUUAAUCUCUUCGUUUGAAUUUGUAUAUAUGAUUUUAAUUAGAUACAGAGUUUUAAGAUUAAAUAUACUAUACCAAACAUAUACUAAUAAAAAAAUAUCUAUUAAUAUUAAAUUAAAUAAUCAUGAUAUAACCAAGCUGCAGUCGUCCAUAUAUCAACCAACCACCCUUAGCCCUUUCAUAAAAACUACUGGUCCAAUGCAUUGACAGAUCAAUGUUUGGCAAUCUGUGGAAUAGACUAUACUUCCUCGGUUCCAUUUUAUUUAUCGUGUUUUAUUGUGUACUCUUCAAAAAAGAAAUAACUAAAGAGUAAUUUAACUAAAUUAUCCUUAUAGUACUUCUGUUUUUUUUAAUACUGUCUCUCUUUCGCACUAUAUUUUUCACUAAGGGUAACAAUAUAGAGACAAACAACUAAUUAUAUCUUGAUUUUUUAAAAUAAUAUGUUAUUCUGAAUAAUUUAUUUUUAAUUAGGAUGACACGUAGGGAUGGCAAUGGGUGGUGCGGAUUGAGCUUAACCCGCUAAAUUUUUAAUCCACCCCGCCUCGCAUAACAAUUUUUUUCAUUUUCAAUCCACCCCAUCCCGCCCCGCAUAAUUUUUUAAAUAUUUUCUUUUUCUAGUUAAGUUUGAUACUAAAAAUAUAAUUCAUAGAAAAAUAAAUUCAUUUUUUCAUUAAGUUGUAUUAAUUUAAUAGGAUAGUAACUUAAAAUUUUAAUUUUUAGAGGUCAAUUGGAAAACAUGUAAGAAAUUGUAUUAUUUUUUAUUAACCAUUUCAUUUACAUCUUGAAUAUUUUAGUAGCUUUAAAUACAUUAUCUUAAUAAAUAAUGUUCUAACACUCUUAUCUUAUAACACGUAAAAAGUUAAAAUUAAAUCUAAACCCACAUAAAAUCACAUAUAUCCGCAACUGGCCCCACCCCACACAACCUUAAAUUCGCCCCGCCCUGCAUAACCUUAAACUCACCCCGCCGCCUGCCCCAUUGCCAUCCCUAAUGACACGUAAGGUUAAACGGAUGGAGUAUAUAUUAAAGUUGCAUGAGGUUAUUUAUUGGGAGAAAUUAUUUUUCUUGGGAUAAGUUUCUUAAAAAAAUUUUCUAUAUACGUUAAUGGCUUCUGUGUUUGAUUAAAUACCAUAAAUGCAGGAGACAGGUGACACAUGAUAAUUGUACAAGAUAAAAGCUGAUUGAGUAGAAUUUUUGCUUUCUUGAUGUUCAUAAUUAUUGAACAUUUGUGUCACGAUCCAGACCAUCGUGAUUGACAUCCACACUAAUUCUCUGGUGGGAGAACCACUAUUACAAUUCAAACCAAGCAACUAAACCAAACUAAGGCAUUUAAGUUACGGAAGCAAGUUAAAUACUAAGGAAAUAAAUAGAGUUCUCAUAAACUCUAAUAAAAGUCGAACAACAAUAAACUAACAUUGCGUAAGUAAUGCCUAGAACCUGAAAGUCAAUGUACCAAAACAUCUAAAGUUCAACAAGUCUAAACAAGAAGGGAUACAACCCCCAAAUUAAUGCACUAAUAACUAACUAGAACAUAGUCUAAGUCCGAAAAUAGUGGACAUAGACGAAAGAGAACCCAUGGCAGCUUGGAAGAAUUGACUCACCCUUGAAUUCGAACGAUCAUUAUUCUCCUAAGCGAGGUCGGUCGGUAGCCGCUUGAAGAUGCCCUGUACUCAACAAAAAUAAGAGCAAGUGCAGUAUUAGUACACAAUCACAGUGUACUGGUAGGAUCAUGCGGCUAUCCCACUAAGUGUAACAUACAUUAGUCAAUACAACAAUAUAAUCACAUGCGCAUAUCGAACAUAUACAAUAUCAUCAACAUAUACGAACAAUGAACAACUUCACAAUUUCUCAAGAUACACAAUUAUGACAAGUCAUUGGUCCUCUCAUGGAACCCAAACCCAAACAGUUAUCAUAUCGGAACGCGGUACCCGAUCCAAUGAUUAUGCCGGAACGUGACAACCGAUCUCAUAAUUAUGCCGGAACGUAGCAACCGAUCCAAGUUAGUUAUGCCAGAACGUAAUCCAUUCAACACACUACAAUCACAAUCACAAGUAUAUCCUCAAGAUCAAAUAAUUAAGUCAUGAUUCAUGCCAUUUAUCAUUCAUCUAUCUCAUUUACAACAAGUGUGAUCAACAUUGCAACAUUCAUACAUAUACAAGUAUCAUAAUGAAGCAAGAACAAACAUACAUCACACAAUCAUAGAAUCACAACCAUCACCUACCUCGAAACAACUUUGAAACCCUAAUAAGCUUGAUCCUUCCCUUUUCGGAUUCGUUCCGCUUGUUCUUGGUCUACAAACAAUCAAUAGAAUACGGGAAUCANNNNNNNNNNNNNNNNNNNNNNNNNNNNNNNNNNNNNNNNNNNNNNNNNNNNNNNNNNNNNNNNNNNNNNNNNNNNNNNNNNNNNNNNNNNNNNNNNNNNNNNNNNNNNNNNNNNNNNNNNNNNNNNNNNNNNNNNNNNNNNNNNNNNNNNNNNNNNNNNNNAAUUAUCCAAAUUAGGGUUGUUUCCAUCAUAGAAUCUAUAACAACCCCCCCCCCAAAUCAAUGUUCACCCAUUCUAUUACAUUCUACGGAUCGAAGAAUGGAUUUGGAGAGUGAAAAACUUACCUUUAGCCUCAAGAAUGGUGAAAAAUGAGUAGGAGUCGCCUGGGGUUCGUUCUUUAGCUCUAAAAAUCGAAAAGUGCAGAAUGAGGUCGUUUAGGGAUUUAUUUACGACUUUAAGUCGUGUCGAACCCGCCACAGCGGCCCUUACCCCGCAAGAGCGACACCAAUCCCGCUAAAACGGCUUGCACGGAAUCAGUGAGCUAUUUAAAGAAUUCCAAGACCCCCAUUUCACAACACACAUCUAACCAACGACGAUAAGAAAAUACCCUUUACGCUAAGAUCGAUUUUGGGAGUUCUACUCGCCCGAAUUCAAUUUCGUAAAGUUGUACGGGUUUUUUAACAAGUUAUCUAACCACUCAUAUAACCAGAAUUAUAAAUAAAUCACCCGAUUGUUACUAGAUUUCUCUACACCUUAAAGACUCCGAUUUCGUCCAAAUCUGGACUAGGUUGGGAAAAUCCAAAUACUACGAAAAAGUUUUUCGGUCCUAAAUUUUCCCCCGUUGGCAUUUCUAUAACGACGGGAACAUGUCGUUACAAUAGAUACCAAUUUACCCAUCACUCGUCCCCGAGUGACAAAACUUAGGAAAAUAGGCUAAGGAAGGAAUGAAGUAGUACCUGAAUCAACGAACAAUUGGGGAUAUUUGUCUCAUAUGUCUCUCUCGGUUUCCCAAGUAGCUUCCUCAACUGGGCGAUGCUUCCAUUGAACUUUCACGGACUUAAUCUCCUUGGUCCUCAACUUACGCACAUCACGAUCAAGAAUUGCAAUCGAUUCCUUCUCAUUUUGGAGGUCCUUGUCUAACACAAUUGAGUCCCACUUUAAGAUAUAAUCCCCGUCACCAUGAUACCUCUUCAACAUGGACACAUGAAAUACCGAAUGAACACCCGAUAGAUUGGGAGGUAAAGCCAAUCUAUACGCUACCGGUCCUACACAUUCAAGAACCUUAAAGGGGACCAAUAUAUCACGGACUUAGUUUGCCCUUCUUGCCAAAUCUCAUCACCCCUUUCAUGGGUGAUACCUUAAGAAGAACAUUUUCGCCAGUUUGAAACGUCAUGUCUCUUACCUUAUGAUCCGCAUACUUCGUUUGUCUACUCUAGGCUGUUAAAAGUUUAGCUUGAAUACUAUUUACCUUCUCGUGAGCAUCCUUUACUAAAUCAACCCCCAAAGGUUUCACAUCGCCAGCCUCAAACCAUCCUAUGGGUGAUCUACAUCCCUUCCCAUAGAGUGUCUCAAAUGGUGCCAUAUCUAUGCUGGAGUGAUAACUAUUAUUAUAGGAGAACUCACACAAAGGUAUGAAUUUACCCCAAUGUCCUCCAAAAUCAAUCACGCAUGCCCUCAACAUGUCUUCUAACACCUGGAUAGUCCUCUCUUACUGUCCGUCUGUCUGUGGAUGGAAGGUUGUACUACAAGUGAGUUGUGCGCUCAAUUCAUCAUGUAAUUUCCUCCAAAACUUAGAUGUGAAUUGGGUACCACAGUCUGAGAUGAUAGAGAGGGCCACCUCAUGCAACCUCACUAUCUCCUUCACAUAAACUUUAGCCAAUUGUUCAACAUUAUAAUCUGUUCAUACUGGAAUAAAAUGGGCUGACUUGAUCAAUCUAUCUAUCAAUCACUUCCCAAAUAUAAUCAAACUUUCCCAAAGUCUUGGGAAGACCAACCACAAAAUCCAUGGCUAUUCUUUCCCACUUCCAUUUCGGAAUUGACAUUCUUUGAAGCUAACCAACGGUGAUCAAAAAAUACCCUUUACGCUAAGAUCGAUUCCGGGAGUUCUACUCGUCCAAAUUCAAUUCUGUAAAGUUGUACGAGUUUUUUAACGAGUUAUCUAACCACUCAUAUAACCAGAAUUAUAAAUAAAUCACCCGAUUGUUACCAGAUUUCCCUACACCUUAAAGACUCCGAUUUCGUCCAAAUCUGGAUUAGGUUGGAAAAAUCCAAAUACUACGAAAAAGUUUUUCGGUCCCAAAUUUUCCCCCGUUGACAUUUCUAUAACGACGGAAACAGGUUGUUACAAUUUGACAACAAUGUUGAUCUAAUGUUAUUUAUUAGUAAUAAAAGAAGAUAAGAAAAUGACUUUUAAUUUGUGCACCUACUGAUGAUGGAAAUCAUUGUUACUCUCCUUUUCGUUGUGAAGAUAAUUUUGCUACAUAAAAUUUAUUGUUCCAAAUAUUCAAAUUAUAUAGGAAAUAUAAUUUUGGGCAUACAAAACACACUAUGUGUGGAUAUAAUUGCUAUAAAAGGAGUUAUUCUUGUGAAACAUUUUCAAGAUUGUCUAACUAUAGUCUAUAAGAAUGCUGCUAGUACUUAUUUUUUUUACAUAAUGGGACCUUUUAUAUACUUGUGAGUUAUGCAUGUGUGUUUGAAAAGUUCUUUCGAAAAAUAUGUUUCAUAAAAAGGAGGAAAAUGACUAUUUUGAUCACUUAUAAAUGUGAGUUAUUUUCUUCAUAACUAUCUCAACCGAUCUUAAUGUCAUAUCACUACUAACCAAUAUUUUUGACUUUAUAAUCAACUUUUAGUACUCAAAUAUUUCAUUAAAGUACUGGCCAAUUAGCUAGCAUAUUUAUCCAUCUAUAAUAAAUUAAGAUCACGACAUCACAUAAUCAUAAGUCAUUGUUCCAUUUGCUUAGACGAAGGAUUUAUUGGGGCAACGAACGGUUUGGUGCAUGAACGUAUGUUACGUAACAUCUCAAUAUAAUCAAUAGAAAUUUCAUCAAAUUAUUAACACUAAUUGUUUAGUCACGUAUGCAUUAAUAUAAUGUGGGACGCUAACUAAACCUACACUAAAUUAAACUUCUGUUUUGGAAGCUUUGAUAUGUUUCUUCUACGUCGUUGCUCUCUAAUAAUUAAGACAAUAAAAAUAUCAUCAUUUUGUUAGGUGUAUUUUGACACGUGGAAGUAGGAAAGUUGGAGGAACAAAAGACUAGUGCACUAAUGAAUAGUACGGGGUAUAUGACAAGCUAAUAUAAGAGGAAAGUAAAAUAUUUUGUAAGCGUAACACAAGUUCACUUGAUAUACAUAUAUGUCAUAUGUCAUGUUUGAUCUUAACUAGUUCUAUUUAAUGAAAAUUGUGUUAAUUUUUUAAUGGGUAAACAACAUAAAUUCCACUACUUUAGAUCCUAAUUACUAGGAUUUUUGAUAGUUUUUUAUAUUACUUCCUAUACCAUUUUCGAUGGUGAGAUACACGUAUCUCGAUCCGUCAGAUACGUGUAUCCAUAGGGUUUAAAAUGCCGAGAUACAUAAUUUAAGACUUUUGAAUUGAAUGUUGUUACUUAUUAUGAUCUUAAUUAAAGGAGUAAAUUAGGGGAAAUUAACAAACUAAACAUGUAUAUAUGGGUUUCAUUGUAUAUUGCUAAGCAUGUAUAUGAGCAUUUUAAUAAUUUAAUGUUCAUUUUAUAUCAUGUACAUUUUGUUAAGCAUGUAUCUUCGACAAUAAUGUGGUACUGAUACAUGAAAAAAUGUGUCAUAUUUUUAUAUUGUGUAUCUUGAACAAAUAAUGUGUAUCUUAGACAAAUAAUGUAUACGUCAUUGAUAAAGGUAACGAUUUUAUGUCUAAGAGUAAUGAUUUGUGUAGCAUAUAUGAUUCGUUAUGCAUGUAUUUCAAAUAUUAAUAUGGGAUUUGUAUCUAGUAAAUUAAGAUAACUUUAGAUACAUUAUGACCAGCGUAACGAGAUGCAUGAAAUUUGUAUCUAAAAAUAUUUUGCUUGCAAUAUUAUGAAAUUUAUAUAUAUAUAUAAUGUUUGUAUUGUUACCUUUAAGGUGAGACCUUUUGAAUCAUUGUACAAAGUUACUGAUAGUGUAAAUUUUCAUCCAUUAAAAAGUAUGGGGAACUAAUAGAUUCAAACAAUGUAAAAACCCUAAAAUCGAACUUUAAAAGAAUUAGAGCUCUGAAUCAGAUACAUUAACAUGGUAAGAACAAAGUUACAAUACAAUAUCUCGGAAUAGCUUAACAAAAUCUUAUUUUACCUAUUUAUAUAAUGUUGAUUAUAGAGAAUUGGUUAUGAAUUUUGUACAUGCAAACAUGUAUUGAGAUGGUUGAGGAAGAAGGGGGGUAAUGAUAGAUGUGUGUGAAACAAAACAUGUAUUGAAAUGGUUGAGGAAGAAGGGGGUAAUGGUAGAUGCGUGUGCAGUGUGAAACAAUGAAUAACAUGGGGGAGUAGACUGAUGGUGUGAAGAGAGAGGAAGUGAUGUGAAUUGUUAAAGUCCCAUUGGAGAUAUAAUUUUAAGAUAAUUAUUAAAUAUCAUAUUUAAGGGGAUUGUGUAUCUAAUUUAACUUUUAAAACUAUAUGAUAUAAUUAUUAAAAAAUGGUAUUAUAUGUAAUAUUUUUAAAUUAAAGGUAAAAUAUGUAUAUAUUAUAGUAAAGUAUGUCUAGAUAGGUAGUUUCAUAAUAUAUGCAUGAUUUGGCUUGAAUAAUCACUGCUAUCUCAGCACUUGAAGCGACAGAAAAUGUGGAAAAAAACUGCACUUAAAGAUUAGGUAAUUCCUAGAGAAGCCUAAAUAAAGAAGUGAAUAUGCAGUGGAAUGAAAUAAUUGUCGGCCACUAAACCUAAAUUUUAGGAAAUACAACUAGAAGACUAACAGUCCCAGUCAAAAUAGCAUAGUAAGAUUUCGAUGUGAAUUCAAAUUAAUUAAUGCAAUAAUUUUUUUGACAAAAGUUCAAAGUAUAGUGGGGUAUGUGCCAGUUAUAGUCAAACAUUUACAAAAAUGGGAUUUGAGGAGUGAAACCUAAAGAAAGAGACACUCACAUUGCUGUUUACUAGGCUAUUAUUGGCUAUAGAAUGAUGAAUUUAAAAUAAAUAUUCUUACCCAAUAAUGUAUGUAGUUCCAUUUUAUAGCAAGGAUAAAAAAGCUAUAGGGAUGGGUUGGUGGUGGUGGUGGGGUUCACUUAACUAUUACAUUCAUAAUUACUUAUUAUUUAAUUUUUAUAAUUAAUUUUGUUUGAUAUCGAAUAAUUAUAUUCAUCAAGAUGUGAUUGAUGGAAUAGUUUAAGGUCCUAACUGGGGAAAUAUAAAAAUAUUUACUUAUUUGUAAUUAUUUGUGUAAAUAUGUAAUUAGCAGUAACGUGAUAUUUUUUCUGUGAUUUCGUUGUAGGUGAAUGGAGUAUCUAACAAUGCCACAAUAAAAUCGCAAUUUAAUUUCAUGGUUUAAAUUUAUUAAACAUUCUGACAACAGUUGACCAAUUGAGUGUUUCCUUAAUUAUUCCCUACUAAAUCUUUUGAUUUUCUUAAAGAAUGCUAUAUUUGGUGACAAUAGCAAGUUUAAUCAUUACCAAGAAAUCUUACUAGUGUUAAAUUAGGUCUUAGGCCUAACUCACACCCCAAAAGCUAGCUCAAAGGGAGGAGGAUUGCCCAAGCCUUAUAAGGAGUCCACCCAUCUCAUUAACCACCGAUGUGGGACUUUUGUCAUUCUUUAACAACUAGCAGUACUACUUAUAAUAAGAUUUAAUCCUAGAUUAAAGGCUAAAACACUAUGAUUAGGACUCAUCUUGAUUAGUCUAAGACAAGAGUUCAUAAUGGCCUUGUCGUCAUGGUAUUAAUGGUAAAAUAAUAAUAUUAUAAGUUGUUAAUCAUCUAGCUAGAAUACGUAAACAUCUAGAAUCUUCGUGGUAAAGAAUCCUAGCUAUUUUGAUGUGUCUUAUUCUAAAAUUAAUUUAAUACAUGCAUAUUUAGAGAAUUUCUCGAUACAUAAAUCAUAUGAUUUGAUUUAAAAUUAUUAAAUUACUCGAUCGACGUGUAUAAAAAAAAUGUUAAAGAAGAGGGUAGAGCUGCGAAUAAUCUAUUUGUCUAUAUGGGGCCUAAGCACAUGUCCUGUAACAAGGACCAGCUCAACUACCUGAGUUGCAUUAUCAAGAAAUCAUAAUUAUAAACGAGAAAAAAAAUGAAGGAAGAGAAAGUAGUUUAUGUACUAGCCGGGGCGAAGCCACCUCAUGGUUAGGGGUUUAUUCGAACCCUGUUCAAUGGAAAAUUAUAUUACUUAUACACGAUUAAAAUAUUUUUUUAUGAAUUAUAUAUAGUAGAUGUCGAAUCUUCCUUCAGCUAAUUCAUGUGUCUAUUUCUUUAGAUUUUGAACACUCUUAGCAAAAAUUCUGACUCCAUGAAAUUAAAAAAUAAAUCAUGACUAUAUAUAUAUAUAUUCCCUUUUCCAUACUUAUUCUAUAGAAUUCAAAACAUUGACAUGGAAAGUCUUGUAAAGGCUUGUGAGUGACCAAAAAUAAUUUAAAAGCCAAAAAAAGUUUAGGAAAAAAUAAAAUAAAGGAGCAAUUAUUGAUUAUAUGAACAUUUGGUGGACCAUUUUGUCAUUGUCAAUUAAAUAAAAACUAAAGUACGAAUGAGAAACAACGUGAAGUUUUCCUAAUUAUGCGGAGAUAGGAAGUGAGAGUUUUUUUUUUUUUUUUGGGCGGCGGGGGUGGAGUUAGGAAAUUUGUUGAAAUGUUAACUCAAUUUGAAACAUUUAAUAGUAAUCGGUGAUUAUAAGAGUAUACUAGAAGAAUAUUUGUAAAGACAAUACUGUUCAGAAUCCAAAUACACAGACAAAAAAAGUAAAAAAAAUAAAAAAAUCCUACUAAUAUAUGCUAAGUUGAGGUAAUAUUUUUUUUUUUAAUUUCAUCUUUAAACUAUUAAAAAUUUGAGAAACAUACCUCAAUAUUGAAUUGACCAAAUAGGUGUACAGGCACACUUGGGUGUGUUUGCUCUUGAAUUUCGUCCAUGUGGUUUUAAAAAAUAUUUUUCUGGAUUUUUUAAACUUUCCCCUUCUUCAUCAUUUCUCAAUUGUUUUUCUUCAUUCCUUUCAGAGUUAACAUCUUAGAAGGUCAUUGAACUAUGAGAAUUUAUCAAGUAAAGUCAUUGAAUUUCAUUUUAUAUCAAUAAAAUCACUCAACUUAAAGCUUUUAUAUUCAAAAAUUACUCAACUUAAAGCUUUUAUCUUCAAAAAUCACUCAACAACAUUUUUCAUUAAAUAAAUUUAACAAGACAUAAUAAAUUAUCAAAAACACAUUAUGUUUUUUUUCUAUUUUAUUAUUAAAAUAAAUUUAUUGGAAUUGGUUAACGAAUUAGUUAAUUAAUUAAAGUAGUUGAUUAGUUGAUUAAUUGUAGUUAGUUAGAAAGUGGGGACCACAAUUUGUUAGUCGGUUCAUAUUGUAUAUAUAGCAAUGUGCACUGUAAACUCUUCAGUUAGUUGAAAUAAUAUUUUCCAUUCUUCUCUUCUUCUCUCAAACUGAUCUAUCGUUCAUAUCAUUGAGUUGUAUUUUCAUCAAAAUUUGACAUAACAAAUAAAAUUAUUUUAUAUGUCAUGUAAAUAUGAAUAUCACAAAUUGAAAUUUUAUAUUUUCAACCAGCAGCACAUAAACCUGCACAUAGCCACGUUGCUUCAAUAUUCAUUUUCUACAUUUUGUGCCACUGUUCGUAAACAAAUUUUUUUGGCUGAAGUAAUCAUCUAUUGAUUACAUUGAUUAGAUACUCCAGUCUCCAUAUACAAACAUAUUAAUUUAAUUAUAAUAUAAACAAAUGAGUAAUAUAGUGUAUAACCCAAAACAAUUAAUGAGUAAUAACGUGUAGUUUUUAUUUUCAAUUCCUUGAUGUGAUUUAUAGAAUUUAAUUACAUUUAUGUUGCUAGCUAGCUGGUUGUAAUGUAAUAGUGGAUCUCUUAUGAAUAUGAAUUUUACACCCAAAUUUUAUUUUAUUUUCAUUUGUAACUGGAAACAGAGAACUGAAUCAUUGAUAAAUAGGAUAAAAUGACUUUUUUAAAAAAUAUUUAUUUAUGGGGUUCAUGUUUAUAUGGCCUAAAAAAUAAUUUAUUUUGUUAUAUUAAAUUGAUUUUAAUAAUAAAUGUAGUUGAAUGAUUUUUGUAGAUAAAUGUCUUAAGUUGAGUGAAUUUUUUGAUAUAAAACAAAGUUUAAUAACUUUGCUAGAUAAAUUCUUAUAGUCCAAUGACCUUUUAAGAUAUUAACUCUUUCUUUCACCUUUAUUGCAUAUUUUUUUCAACCUCACUCCUGCUUCUACUUCUAUGUUUAUCAACAUUCUUCUUCAUUUUAUUCUUUUAUUGGUUAGUUUGAUUUGUUUUUCAUUUUAAUUUACAUUCUGCCACGUUGUAAUUGUUUUCCACGUACCAUCACAUAUUACUUGAGUGAUAAUUUAGAUGUGUUUCUUACACUCUUAAUUGUUUAGAUGUGAAACUCAUAGAUAUAUUUUUGAAACGUAACCUUUUUUUUAUGGAUCAAGAUGCACGCUAGUUGUAUGACAAUGAGACUUGUACCCAAGAUUCUUACGAGAAAAAAAAAAACAAGAAACUUCCUUUCAUUUAAUUUAAUAAUAAGAAGAGUAAACAGUCUUUAGAAAUUAAUUAGAUAGAUAAGUUAAUGAUGAAAGAAAAACAUUAGUAUAUAUUAAGAUGGAAGUCAAGUCUUCGUUUACAAAUUAAAUGAUAGUACUAUGAAAAAAGGGAAAAUGGUCAUCAUCCAUACAUUAGUCUUCAAGAAUUAAGAUAUAUAGUGAUAGACUUUGAAUUUUAUCUUGUCAUCCACAACUAGUCGUCAAUCACAUAAUAAAUAUUUUGUUUGUCACACUUAGGUUAAAACUAAUUGAUAGCGUUGUGGAUAGAGACGAUACGUUCAUAGAAAUAUUUGUAGUGAGACAAGAGGGGACCCCAUGUUAAGAACAAUAUAUAGCUUGUUAUUAAUUAGUAGAUUUGAUCAAUAUAGAAGACCAACAAAAUUGAGGAAGAAAUUAAAUUAGUAUGAUAGCUAGCUAGAGUGAUAGUGAUUAAUAGCAAGAAAAAUAUGGAACAAACUGGAUUUUCCACAUCUUAUUCAUUAACUUAUCAUAUGGAAUAUGUAUGCACAUAAGGAUGGUUAAGAUAAUUUCUGGAUCUUGACACUUGGAGAGCUGUCGAUUAUUAGGCUAUAGAACAUAUCAUGUGCAAGUUAGUGUUGUUUGUUUUAGUUAAUUAAAUGUCAAUACAGAUAUACAUCGGGUGAGUUUAGGAGUUGGGUAUUAUGGAUUUACGAUACUAUUAAAUUUGAUGACGAUUUGGGUUAUUGGGUUCAAAAUUUAGUAUUUAUACAUGAUUAGUUUUGUGAGAUUAUAUCGAGUAUGAUGUUAGCUAGUACUACAUGGUUAUAUCAAAACUAUUGAGUUCCACGGAAUCCAAUCAUCCAUAACUAUUGGUUGGUAAUGCAUGUAUUUCUUCUCAUUGGACUGCUUUAGACUAUGUUAUUCCUUGAAAGCAAUCUCUCUACUUCUGAGGUAUAGAUAUAAGGUUUACAUACACUCUACAGUCUCCAAGCCUGAUCACUUUGUGUGUAUGUUAUUGUUGUUGUAUUUCUUCCUUUGUGCUUGUUAUUUUCUCAGCCAAUUAAUCUGAAGAAUUUUUCUUCCUAAAAUGCAACCAUCACUUUUCAAUUUUCCUACCAUGAAGAUUGCAAACUUGAGUUUUUGGGCUCUUUCACCAUUCAAUUUUGGCAUUUGCAAUAGUUGUAGUAUAGUAUUGUGGCUAGAUGUACGUAGCGUAGUUAGGGCCUGUUUGGAUUGGCUUUUGGCUUAUGAUUUAUAAGCCAAAAGCCAUAAGUUAGGAUUUCUAACUUAUGGUUUUUGGCUUAUUUUUGUUAUUUUGACUUAAAAAUAAGUGUUUAUAAGCACUUUUUAACUUUACUCAAACACUUCAAAACUGCUUAAAAGUUAUUUUGGCUUAAAAACACCUAAAAUAAGCCAAUCCAAACUGGCACUAAGAUUGAAGCUUUUUUCUCCCCUUUACACCAUGUUUUCUUUUCUUUUUAAUAAUAAAUAUUUGCAUUUUUCCUAGCCUAGCUUCACAACUCACAAGUAGCAAGUAAAUAUGCCUUCUUAUGAUUUUGUAACGAAAUAAGAGAAAUACAUUAGGUAGUAAAUUUUUUAUUUUUUUUAAUAAGUAUAAAGUGCAAAGUACAAAAGAGUGUAUAGAUUAAAGGAGCAAAAUGUCAAGAAUUUUUCACUAGUACAUUUACUAGCUCUUUGUAUAACACAUGAUCUAUAUAGUAUGGGGGGAAAUUAAAAAAAAAACUCAUCAAUGUGUCAGAGGAGCAGAGUAGUUUAACAAGUUCGACUUCAUAUUGACUUUGACGUUUCAAUACAAGUCGUUCCAUUGAUAACUUGGAGUAUAAAAAAAUAUUACAUUGCGAGCGUAUGUAUCUAAUUUUUAUCCUAUCAGUAUAUAUAACUUAAAUAUCUCAAUGUGAGCUGAGUAAGUAUAUGUUGUAAUAUCAUUUACUUAAUGGUUUUCUAAUAAUUAGAACUUGUAUAUACACAGAACAACAAAGUAGCUAGAGCAAAAAAAAAAAAAAAAUCUCACUGGAAAUACUGAAAGUGAUAAACUUUACAGAUACAACCAAGGUAACUGUUGUACAUACUACUAGUUAAAAACGAAAAAAAUAGAACUCUUCCCAUGAUGACUUUAAUUUGCUCUGUACAACAUCAUAGUAAAUUACUAAUAAUUCUAGCUAAUAUUUACUGAAGGUCGAAAACAAUCUCUCAUAGAAAUGCAGUACGAUAUAUUUUUGUGGUUUAGCCUUCCUAAACCUCACAUAUAGCGAGAACUUAGUGCACUGGACUCCUUUAACGUGCUCGAUAUAUUCAAUUAACGUGCUCGAUGUAGCCUAUUAUUCUUGAAGGCACGCUGAUCGGAUUCUUGCCUCUGCAGCAAUCUCUCAUGGUUGAUCUUCUUAAUAAAAUCAUCAAAUCUCUUGUUGGAUUCCUCUGUACUAACAGAAACAUCCCCUCGUAAACCCCCUCUUCGAAACACCGAUAAAGCAUCGUUAAAUGUCACUGAUUUUCUCAAGUCUUUCCAUGCUGCAGCUACUGAUGGCAACAAGUCCUUUGAACCAAUGCUCUGUGCUGAUUUCACCUGUGGCUCAAUUGGCCAUGUCUCACUUUUCUUCAGUACUUGUUUCUUCUUUUUCGUAUUGUUUCCCCCUCCUGUGAUCGUCUUCCAUGUUGCGUCCAACGAGCCAUCAUCCUCUUCAAUAUCUUGAUAAUUCAUCAUCGUUUCUUCGUAAUCAGUUCUUGUUGCAAUUGUCUCACUAACAAUUUCACGAGCCUCAGGAAAAGACAAUUUCGUUACACAAUCAAUUUCAAUAUCUUUCACAUCAUCACUACAGGAGAUCAAUUCAUCUUCAAUUAUAGUUUCUUCUGAUACAACAGGAUCCAAAUUAUAACGACUGAAAAACGACAUAACAGUAUCCAUUGCAAUAACAGAACUAGUUCUUUUCGGUAUAUUAUCGUGUUGUGGCUGAAUCUGAAUAUCAUCAUUAUCACUAAUAUUCUCCUUUUCAUCUAUAAAAACAUUGAGAAACUCCAUCGUGGGAUGGUGAAAUUUCGAAAAAGUGAAAAUAAGUAUAACAACAGAGUUGAUAAAAAGGCAAAUAUAAAGUGGAGAUGACAAGAAACUCUUCGAAUAAUUCAAGAUUUCACUUAAAUUAACAAAGAACAUGUUAAAUAAGUAACGAGGACUAAUAGCUUUUUUAAGCAUGAAAAAAGUAGAAAUAAAUCCUGUUGAUAAAAGAAGAAGCUCCAUGGUUAAUAUUGUUGUUUUGAUCAAUUUGCCUCUUUCCUCUGAUAAUCUAUUGGCUAUCAAAGUUGCCAUGGACGAAAAAAAGAUCAAUUUUUUGGGGUAAUUUGUUAUGAAGAAUUGCAAAGUGCAAAGAGUUUAUGAUAAAAUGAUCUUUACAGGCUAGCUAGGCACUAGAGAUAGACAAAGAGAUAUAUAUUGAGUGCAACACAACACUAGAGACCCACAGAGCAAUAUCAAGUAAGGCUAAUGGAAGCCUUUUUAUAAGUAGACAUUGGUGACAAUAAUGAAUGUCCCACUAAUCUACUUUUAAAUUAAUUUCAUUAAUCAUUCAUAGGAAUAUAUGUUUUUUCCCUUUUAGAGUUUAACUUAUAAAUAUGCACUGAUAAUGUAAAAGAAUUUAAAUUAUCGGCAUAGGUAUAAAUGUAACGAGUUACUUAUCAUGUUUUGCAUGUUACCUAGAUAUGUGUGUAUUUAGACAUUUAAACUACUGCUUUUAGAAUAAUUUUAGACAUGUAGUAUUUGAAGCUAGGUUUAUGACUCAAAUUCAAGUAUUUCUACCUAAAUUUUAGGUAAAAGUCGCUGAAAUUCAGCAAUACGAAACUUCAGAUACCACAUAUCUAUAGUUAUUUCGAAAUGGGUAGACUUGUAAAUUUUUAUACAGUGCUGAUCAAUUGAAGAGUCAAACUACAUGGGAAAAUAGCAUCUCCUAAGUCUCGGGCUUACUUUGAAAAAAUCACAUGCAAUUAUCUUUAAAAUAACCCAAUUCUUAAUAUAUAAAAAUUAAUAAACUAAACUAAAGUGUAUUUUAAUUAAACUCUUUUUAUAUUUGUGUGGGUGGAGUAAAGGGGUGAAAUGAGGCUUUGCAAAAGUAAAACCAAAUCAAACAGGCUGAUUAGACUUUCAAGUUUACCAUUAGAUUUUUUGAUAACUACUUUGAAUAUAGCCCUUGGUCUACACUUUUGUUAAUAAAAUCCUAAUAGGAAGAUAAUGAUGAUAAACUUCCAAGUUUAUGAAGUUUGACUUUCGAGAAGAAAAAUAUGAUAAGUUAAAGUGAACAUGAGAGUAAUUUUUAUUAUCGCUUCUUAGAUUUUGUAUCAUAGAGCGAAUCCAAAUAGAUCAAGAUGCUAAGAUAUAUUUAAUAGGCAAGAAUGAUAUAAAAAGGCAACUUUAUGGAAACUUAAUUAGGUUUGCUUUAAUUUACUAUCCAUCUAUGCUUAUUAUAAUUUGAAUUGAAUGAAGCAUGUUAAACCUAAAAGUAAUUAAUUGCUAAUCUUUCUUUGUUCUUACAACUAAGAGCUGACUAACCAAAGUCAGUCAACAUACCUAUCUUAUCCUAUUAUUUUUUUGCUGACGAGCUUUCUCUAGUGUUUCAAGUAAUCUUAGCUGAAAAUUUGAGUUUUUAAAUGAGAUGAUGAUCAUAUACUUUAACAUGAUAUUAAAGUAGAUAAAUAUUAUAGAAUCAAAUUUUACUGUCACUCGUUAGCAAAAAGAUUUUUAACAGCUUGAUUCAUAAAUAAAAAAUCAAGCACACACAUGAGAUGAUCGUGUUGAAAUAUAAUUAAAUAACUAAAAAAAACUUUCUUUAACGACUUAAAUUCUUAUUAAUGAGAUAAUUACACACUUCAAUACAACGAAGACCUGUUAAUUAUAUAUUUACAAUAUUUUUUCACAUACUUGUCCAAGUGUAAAGGUAUAAUCACUCCUUUAAAAACACUAUAUUAAAAAUUAUACUAUUCUUCCAUGUCGACAUACCUGACAAUGAAAACAUACCAAAUACUCAUUAAAGUAUCUUAUUCCUACCCAUAUCCUAAUCCUGAGAUAUAUAGAAACCUCAAUCUAAUUAGUGUAAAAAAAUAUUUUUGUCAACAAAUGAGUCCUGUAUUUAAGUUUACAUAUUUAAUAAUAAAAUAAAGGACGAAAGAGAAUAGAUCACAUUUUAAUACCUAGCUCCCUCAGCAUAAAUAUCUUCUACUUAAAAUAUCAAAGUAACAGUUACACACAUACAAUAUACAAAAAAAAAAUAUAUGCACAAACCCAUGACAUUUAUCAAUUGAUUUGAUAUAAAUAUCCAGUACGAAUAAGUUUUUUUUAUCCAGAUGUUACUUGUAGUCUGUAGAGUUACCUGAGCAAUUACAUGGAACUUUUGUACGUACUAAUUCAAAUUAAGAGAUAUAAAACAGAUUAAAAUAAAAAAGUAAUUCCCAAGGAAAAAGCUCCCAUAAAAAAUAAAAAAUAAAAAAAAAAAAAAAAAAAAAAAAAAAAAAAAAAAACUCACUUUAGUCUUUAGGUAAAACAUCAAGAAACUAUAGUACUAAAAAGGUGAAUAUAAAAAGGUCAAUAUGACCAUAUUCUAAUUUCUAUACCAUGACCUGUCAUUUCCACACUAAAGUGCAGUUUUUCUUAAUUAUAAAAAAUAACCAUUUGGAAGAUAAACUUUUACCCUUUUGGCUUGUUUUGAUAAACUUUUGGAGUCCGGUUAUAAUUUAAUCCAAUGAAGGUCAUGCUUGAGUCAUGAAAAUGAAGCUACACUACGUAAUAUCUUGUGGAAUAAGUAAUUAAAUGAUUAAUUAAUACUAAGUAAGUUUCCUAGUCAAUACCUAACGAAAAUUUAACUAUUAAUUUGUCCAUUUGUAUUUUCCAUCAAAAUUUUGUACUACUAAUUUGGGAUGGUAACCCUUGAACCAAUCGUACGUUAAAUGAAUCUUUGACAUUUUCGUUGUUAUACUGUUCCCAAUGUCAAAGCUUUUCAAAGAAAUUUCAAAAAGAACUUCCACAAUUAUUUCUAUCAAUUACUAAGGUCCGCAUUAGCGUAACUAGUAAAGUUAAUGUUAUGUGCUUAGCAGGUUAUUGUUCGAGCUAUAGAAACAUAUUGUUUGUGCAUGAUAAAAUAUAAUUACAUAUAAUAAUAAUAAUAAUAGAUUAUUAUGAUCCUUGAAUUCUACGCUAAGCAACAACUUAGUGCAUCAGACUCUCCUCUUCUUUCUCUUAUAUAGUACUCCUAUUUAACCACUUUAUUGUUCAAUGAAACAAAGUCUUUCGUCAAAAGUAUGAAAAAUAGUACUUAUAUUCAAAAUGAAAUUAUUUUCAAGGAAAAAAAGCCUAGACGAAUGGUGAUACUUCGAAACUCUCUUACAACUAGUAAUGUCAAAGUGAAAUGAUUGUAAAUGAUGAAUAUUUAUUCAUUAUCAUUAGUUUUAUCACAUUAGCUAAUUAAAUAAUUAAGCUGUUACCGAAUAAAAAUGUAUUCACCAAGUGAUUUAAAAUAUAUAAAAACACUAGUCAAAUAUAUAAAAGUUAAGAAAAUUUAAUAUAUACAGAAAAUCUAAAUUUGACCUUCCCUAUAUAUAAGAGUAUAGUUUUUUCGAAGAAAACGUUUGGAUGAUUGGAUCGUAGCUUUGCCAUGCAAUUCAUGAGAAUAGAUAAAAUAGACCGAAAUUCUUUAAAGUUGAACAUUUCGAAAUUUAUUUAUAUAAAAAUAUAUUAUAGUUGUACUUGUAAUUCAAUGGAAAAGAAAUGCAAAGAAAUUACUUGGAAAUUGGAAUUCAUGUUGUAUAUGACAAAGAUAUUUAUCCCUCAUUUCUGAUAUUUUGUCGAGGGGCCACAAAAUAACUUGCCGCUCUCCCACCUUUCCAUUUAAUUAAUUAAUUAAUUAAUUAGUUGAAAAAAUAAUAAUAAUUAACGGUAAAGGUGUGCAAAAGCCAAGUACUCAAAGGACUAACUUGUCUGGCGUUGAGGAACACAAAUACCACUAUUUUAUUUUGGUCUUAUUGUUAUCACAGCCAUAUUUUGUUAAUUUGAAAAUCAAAAGCCAAAAAUGAAAAACGGAAUUAAUGAUUAUUCUUGUUAUAUAUAAGUUUCCAAAUAGUACUCGAUGAAAUAUAGGGUGGAUACAAAUAACGUAGCGGAUGCCAUGUUAGUGAAUAGUGAGCUAAGCAGGCGAUAAUGAUAAAUAUGGAAUUUCUUUUUAAAAUAACCUUUUUAUCAAACGACUAACAAGGAUAAAAAUUCUUUGAAAAAUCAUUUUUUUUUCAAAUAUUCGUUUCCCUCUAUUUUUUAUUUACACCAAGACUAUAUAUAAAACUCAACAUAACAUAUUAAAUAUAUUUUACAAAUAUUCCGUUUGAUAUUUUGAUCUUCUACUUAAUUAACUACUUAAGAUGUAAUAUCAAUCGGGUUUGUGAACAAAUUGAACUAAGAAGAUAUAUUAAUGACGCAUUAUAUUUGGCUAUGGCUGAAAUUAUGUCUUGUCAGAAAUAUAUUCUUGGCCCUUUAUGUUCGUAAUUGAAGUAAAUCAACAAUUCAAUUGAUUGAUAUCUAAUCAUAAUAAAACAUAUAUAUUUCAUAUACAAUUGAUAAGACCAUAUAAGACCAUCACAUGUGCAAUCAAACCAGAUCGAAAAUUCAUAGAAAAUAAUUAUAAAAAAUCCUUAAAACCAUAUAAUAUAUCCAAAAUUUAUAUAUGACAUGGUCCUUUUAGUUUUCCCCCCAUUUAAGUACUAACACAUAAAAAAAAAGAUUUGGUGCAUGAACAUUUUUAUUAAGUGGAUGGAAACUUCAUCAAAUUAUGUAUAAAUAUAGUAAACUAUAGAGGUGUACAAAAUCGAACUAAAUCAAACCGCAAAUCGAGUUAAAUCGAGAAAAAAAUCUGACUAGUGGUUGGUUUGACUUAGUUUGGUAUUGGAAAAAAAACCCGACUAUAUUUGGAUUGGUUUGGUUUUAACUAAAAAAAAAUACAACCCGACAUUAUAUAUAUAAUUUUAAAAUUUUAUUUUAUACAUAAAAAUAUUUUCUUUGAUAUAAUUUUUAAAUAUUUCUUAUACUUUAUCAUAGUUUUUAUCUUUUAAUAUAUUAUUUCAAGUUUGAAACUUAGAAUUCUAAAUGAUUCAAUAAAGAUUAUAGUUCACAGAUGUUGAUAAUUAUAAUAAAGCUUAAAUAAAAAUCAAAUUAAUACUAAUGCAAAAAGAAAAUCAAUUCAACACUAAGAAUGACAAUAAUAUUGAAUAUUGUUCCUUAGUUUUACAUUGGUUUAGACAAUUCAAAUACAUAAUCUAAUUUUAAUUUCCUUUAAUAUUUAGUCAUGUAACUAAUACUUAUUAAAUUUAUUUUAGCAUGAUUUAGUACUUUUAAAUUAUGAUCAUUUUCAUUAUGACUUGUUAAUUUGCAAUAUUUGUUUUAUGCAAUUUCAUUAUUAUUAUUUUUUUGUUGGAUAUUUUAGUGUGUCAUUACUGAUAUCAUAUUUUGUGUUAUUUUCUUAAGAAACACCUUAGAUAAUUGUAUUUUGGUAGGACUAAAGAAAUAUUUGAAAUACAAGUAAAUUAUAUGUUUGUAUGAAUACUUUAACGGAAAAACCCGAAAAUCCGAAAAACCCAAAAAAAUUCGAAAAAACCCGAGGUUAAAAAAUCCAAGUUUAAUUGGUUUGAUUUGGUUUAUAGAUUUAAAAAUCCGACACAACUAAUUUGGUUUGAUAUUAGAAAAAUCCGAAUUAACCCAGCCAUGUACACCCUAUAGUAAACGUAGGCUUACAGAUUUAAUUAGAUAAAUAUAUUAUUAAUAUGGGACAAGAACCCCACAUUAAACUUUUAUUUUGGAAGCAUUGAUAAUAGUUCUUCUUUGCAGUCAAUACUUUCUCGGGGCACCAAGUGACCAUUUUGCUGUGCUCAUUAUGUUAUGUCAACAGUUUUUGUGUUUUUGGGACCUACGUGAACCUAAAUUAAAAAAGUUUCAAAAGUUGGAGGAAAAAAAACAGUGUUGUUGGAUUUGCAUCUCAAGUUUAAUAUAUGUAACAUAAUUUGAAAUGAUACAAAUUUAUGUAACGUGUAAAUAAUAGAAAAUUAGUGUGAUUAUGAUCUUAAAUAUGUCAUAAUUACUUCACUAUAUGUGUGAUUGACAAAUGAGUCACUCAUAAACAUAUUGCAAAUUACAUCUCGACUAACUUUAUUCUUUAUUAAUCCGAUUUAUUCAGAUUCAUAGAUAUAUAAGUCCUAUCAAACACAAUUUAUCCGAUUUAUUCGUAUGCUCUAAUUUGGUCUUGUAUAAUUAUGGGCCACCUAGGUCAAGCUAAAGUUUGAUGGUUUUUUAUUUAUUCUUGUAUAAUUAGGUGUUCGAUAUUUAUAUUGGAGUUUAAUUAAUCUGAAUUCACACUAGGUAGAGCUCCAUUCGGGUGUAGGCGUGUAGGCUCCCUAGCAAUAAUUUUUCCAUAUUCAGAAUUUAAAUCUAAAAUCUUUAAUUAAAAAAGAAACAAUCUUAUUCACAACAACACAUUUGUUACCGUAAAGUUGAUGAAUUUAGGAGUGAGGCAUUCUCUUUAGACACAAAAGGGUCACAUGCAUAACUAUAGGCUCCAUCGACUUGACUAGAAUAUGAUGGAUACAAAAAAAAAGAUGAAUCCCCACCCACAUACAUAAUUCAUUAUUUUAUAGCAUAAAUCAAGGGAAAAAGUCUAUAUACAUAGGCGUGGGUAUAGGUGCCGGUGGUGGUGGGGUUCCACUCCCCGGCGCUUCUAUCGCUUUUCAUGCCUAUUUUAAGAUAGUGUUUUUUUCCCCACCUAAUGGCAUAACAGACAAAUCCCUUAAUUAGGUGCCGUUUGGCAUAAAGAUAAUUGUAGACAUUGAAAAUUUAUGAGAUUUUACAAAAUAUAUUCAAUUUUAGUUGGGACUCUGUAAAAAGUAUUCGAUUCUAGUUAGAUUGUUUGGACGUUACUCUAAUCAUAAACCCUAGUUUAUGUUUAUAUAAAGAGUAUUAUAUUCCAUUAAAGAGACAUCUCAAAAAUUCCAUCACAAAUUCAUGGAAUAUUCAUAAAGAGAUCGAAAUCUUGAAUAUUCUGCAAAUUGAUAGAACAUUCACAAAGAUCAAUGGAGAUCAAAUAUAUAUCCUAAUUUGAGAAAUACACCACUAAUGACCCUUGAAUCAGGAACAAACAAAUUUGUAUCCAUAUUUAUCAAUAAAAUAUUCAUGUUUCUUCAUAUUUUUUCGUGAUUACAAUUUAUUUUCUAUCACUAUAAAAUAUAUUGCAAACAAAUAAUAUCGUGUUUAAUUGAGAUAUAUAAAUAAGUAAUUUCAACAAAAAAAAAUUGCAUAUAUAAUAAUGAUUCCCUUCAUCUCAAAUUAAUCGUUGUGUUACAUUUAUCGAAAGACAAACUAUAUAAACCUCGCCAAACAUUAGUCAUAUGCAUCUUUUUUGCAUUUGUAGUGUUGCUUGGCUUAAAAGAUUUACUUCCUUUUAGAGCCUCAAAUUUCAAGAAUUUGUAGUGGGAGGACAUACUUGAAUGCCAAGACAAGCAUUGAUCAGGACAUUUUUACCCCUACCUUCUACAUAUAUCACACACUUUUUUUUUGGUCAAUUUGGAAAAGUUUAAUGUAAACAGAAGAUUUUAAAAGUUAUAUUAGUAUAGAAUUUAGUAUUUCACAAGUUUGAGCUUUAGCUGAUAUAAAAUUAGAAAACAUUACAAGCAAACUUUCAUGUUACUUUUGAAUGAUGGGUGUAUAAGUUAGAAAACCAAAAAAGAUAAUAAGAAAUAAUUAAAGGAUAUCUUAUUCUAAAAAGAAAAAAGCUCACUAGAGAACUAUUGGAUAAUUUAACAAAUACUCCAUAUAGGUUUGUUUACAACUAUUAAAAUCUAGGUCCCUCAAGGGACAAUCCAAUUGUCAAAUUCAACAAUUUAAAAUGAAAGAUCAUGAACUUGAACCAUAAUUGAUGAGUGUUUGUUUUUUUUAAAAAAAAUAAAAUCAAUCACGUAAAAGAAGAAAGGAAAAGAAAUUAGUACAAUAUAUUUGUCCUUGGGGCCUUGCACAUGAUCUUGGCCAACCAAGAGCAACCCAGCUACCUGAUUUGUAUUAUCAUGAAAUAAACAAAUUGGACCAGCAAAAUAAUCAGAAUAGUAGUUUAUGUACUCACUAGUACAUUAUUAUUAAAAUCAUAAUGUCAAAAUGGAUUGUGGUGGAGUGGAUGUAUUACCUUAUUUUUAAUUUAAUGUCUCAGAUUCGAGCUUUCAGAAUUGAGAAGAAAUCACUUUUGAUCAGAUUCGAGCUUUCGGGAUCGGGAAAAAAUCACUUUUGAUCAGAUUCAAGCUUUCAGGAUCGAAAAGAAAUCACUUUUGAUAGGAAAUGUUUAAGCCUUAAAAUAGAAUUUUUUAAACGUGAAUUCAAAUUAGUUGAGCAUAGAUGAAUAUACUAGCGAAAACCCAGUAUAAAUAAUUCAUAAUUAACCUUUGCAAAAGGUGAAAAAUAUUUAAGAAUAUGAUUGUCCUUUUGAGCCAAGGGUCUAUCAAAAAUAACCCCGCUCCACCUCUUAAAGUAGAAAUAAGGUCUGUGUACACACAGUCAUUCGCAGAUUCCACUUAUGAAAUUAUAUCGGCUAUGUUUAUGUUGUUAUUGUUUUUGUAUGAUUGUCCCUUUACCUUUUGUAUAGCUAUUUAUUAAACACAUAUUAAAAUGGGAAUUUUGAAAGGAUAGUGAGCGGCGCCAAAAAAUAUUUAAGGAAAAACUCACAAAAUUUCUUGAAAGAUCUAAAGAUAAAGUAACAUGCUUUUAUUGAUUAUAUAUUAUAUAUAUAUAUAUAUAUAUAUGAACAUUAGGUAAAAGGUGUUGUCAUUUGAAUGGAACUAGGAAAAGUAUUUGAAACUUCAAACAAAUAAAUGAAUUAUCAUCUUGAAAGAAAACCACUAUGCACAUGUUCUUGCUGGGUGAAAGUGACCUUACAGUUUUAAAUUUUCACCAAAAAACAAAUAAUCAACUACUUAGUUCACAAUGCCAAAUUAAUCAAAUUAUUUAUACAAUCUUCCGUAUACGUUUCACUUUUAAAUAAUCCACUACAGUAUGAUAAUGCAACUUUCCAUGUAUUGAAGCUUAGAAAAAUUACUCUUCGAGUUCAGAAAGUUAUAUGAUAACAACAAUAACAUAUUCAGUGUAAUUUUACAGAUGAGGGUUUGGAGAGGAUAGAAUGUAUACAACCUUAUCUAUCUCAUGAAGGCAAAAAGAUUAUUUUCGAAAGACCUUCGACCGAAAGAGUUUUAAAAAGAUUCUCUAAAUUCUAAAAUACAAAGACACGCUUAUUUCAAUGAUAUGUCCUUUAUCUCUUUUCAAGCAUAUCUAGUAAAAUAUACCAACUCUCAAAUCUCAAUCAAAUGAGAAGUAAAACAGGAUUAAACAAAUAUAAACGUGAUUACCUGAUUUUUUAAAUACUGGGAUGAUCCCUGAUUGGCUUGUAUAAUAAUAACAUGAAUAUUUUAAGUACUUUUUUUUUUAUUAAGUAAGUGAUACUUGCAUCGUAUUUUGUUGACAAAUGAUACACAAGAAUUCAAGCUAGAUUUCUUUUUUGGGAUUUUACAAAUAUAGUUGGAAACAUCAUGAAGGUUUCCUAAUUGCUAGGAGGGGAAAAAGGGGUUAGAAAUUUGUUGAAACGUCAAUUGCUAACUCAAUUUAAUAUGUAUAUAUAUUAGCAAUUAAUAAUAAUUGAGUGAUAAUACAAGUUAGAUACGGCCCCAUAAUUAAGAUUGUGAGAACAAAAAAAUAUCACAAUCAUGUAUUAUAUUUAUACAUAUAUGCACAUCAAGUUGAUUCAUUCAAACAUCUUUAGCAACUCAACUAAUUUUUGUUUGAUUAAUAAAUACAUAAAGCAACUCAUCUAAUCUAUAGAUAAUUAUUCAAUUUAUUUCCCCUUUAAAGAAUUCCAGUCCAAUCUUAAAUACGUUGGAGUUGAAUCCAUUGAAUUUAUAGUAGUCAAAUCAAUCAAGGAAGAUUUAUAAUACAUGUACACUCACACUCAAUGAAUACAAUGUGUGUGUUUGUGUAUGUAUACAAUGAAUAUACAUGCAACAUGUAGUGGUCAAGUCGGAAUUUUCACUAAGGGAUUUAAAUCAUAAAGAAGUAAAACACACGAAAAAACAAAAUGGAUUAAGCAUCUACUAUAUAUUCCGACAAAGGGAAUUCAGAUGACCCCCUUGCGUUCUUUCAAUAAAGAACUCGACUGAGAUACAAAGAAGAAAAAUGACACGUACUACAGGAGCUGGAUGUUUAUGGCAUGAAAGGAAGAAUUUUUUUCAUUUUUUCUUAUAGCUGUGGUGUCAGGGUCAGCUUUCACACACCUCGACUAAUUCCACGGAAUACCUGUCACCUCCCACAAGCAACAUGUACCAGCUGAUAACUCUGUCUACUAAGGCUAGAACAUGUGGAAGAAUCUUUUGUAUGCUCUUUCAACUAUAUAAGGGAAGAAUAGUACUAAACAAACUUAGGAAGAUAAAAUGAAAAAAAAAAGGGAUCAAAACAAAUUGUAGUAUUAUAUGAAGGAAAUUAAAUCACUUUCUAUACAAGAAAAAAAAUAAUGAACCAUACAUUAGUUCUUUAAGACACAAGUGAUAGAAUCCAGUUGCCAACUCUUUAAUUAAUCAUAUUGGAAGCAACUGGUAUUAACACUAUACAAGUUGCUUGGCCCAUGAAAACUAAUAACAAUGGAUAGAGACUAAUCAGCCCAAAUAACAAUCCCAAUAAGUAUUCUCACAAGAAAAAGAGGCACAUCCUGCAAACAACACAAAGAAAAACAAAAAACAUACUCUGCAUAUUACAACUUAGCAAGAAAAGGAAAAAAAUAAGGCAAUAUACUAUAAAAAUUUUGCUUCCAAAUUCUAAGUUUUCCACCUUAUCCAUAGUGCAAUUACAUCCCAUAAUAGCAAUCAGGAAGAAUGCAGUUGAUAAUGGCAGAAGAGAAAUCUAUAUUAGGACGGUAUCAGCCAAACGUUAUAACGAUUGUAGUCCAAACGAAUUAAAUUGCAUUAGAUGAUUAAGUUUUUUAUCUUCACUGUUUCUACAGCGCGGGUUGAAUAAGACAACAAAAUAAAAUACACGUUACAUGUGCUUACAUGUUGAAGUGCAGUUCUAUUUGUUUGUAUCAUCCAUGAACUCUAAUCCAAUGCAAAAGUGCUUCAAUAUAACUCCCAACUGGUUCUUCUCUUGGUCUCAUCAGCUCCUAUAUUAAAAAACAAAUCGAUUUACAGGUUAGUAUUUCGUAUAAACAAAAGCUGGCCUUUAUUUAUAAGCAAGGGUGUAACUUACACUCGAAAGUUGCCCAACGAGAUGGAGGCACAAUAGUGCGAUCUUGGUUUCCUUCUGGGGCAUAGAGCAAACUGAAGAGAUCUUGCGUAUCUUCUUUGUGCUUCACGGAUGGAGCACUCAUGAGACCAUUUUUUGGAGGUAAAUUAAGAAAUUCAUCCAUCGUGUCCAAAGAAACCUGAUAAAAUGAAAUGCUAUUCUGAGCCAUGCUUGACAAUGAAAUUACGCGUCCAGGCAAAAAAAUGUAGUCUAUAUUUGGCUAUACGACUAACCAAACAGCAUAGCACAUAAUAAAGAGAUUGUUGUGAACAAAACUAUAUUUAGAAGUAUUCAAAGGCAUAGUAGAAACAUGUAAACAUAGUACAAUAUGUGCAUUACCCCACGAGAUCUUGUCGUUGUAGGAACUUGUGGAGGUUGUAUACUAAAAACAUCCUCCUCCAAGGAAUAUUUUCUUGCUUUUCUUGGAACAUCAGCUUUUCCUCCAAAAUCACUUGUUUCACCAAUCAUAUCAGAUAGUCCUGGUUGAGGAUUAUAUCUGGAAGCCCAUUUUUUAUCCUGAUACCUGGAGUCACAAUAAAAUUUAUGCAAAGGGAACUAUUAUAUAGCUUGUGAAUGCAUAAAAUAAGUUUUUAUGCUGAAUUACUUGGUUCGGAUAAAUUUCCCAAUGUCGCUUCUAUCUACACUUGCUGAUAGAUCUGCCUCCCAAUAAUUGUUCGACUUCUCAUUACCUACACCUGCACAACAAAACAUGAAACAGAACAUCAAAGGCAAAUGGAAUAUCUUCAAGAUAAUUACUGUGUUUCUUAUGUCUUGCGUUGUUAAGAUUCUAAGGAAAAGUUAAAAACUGGAGAAUACUAGUACUCUGGAAAAAAUAGUAGCUCGCCCCCCACCCCGACAAAGCACAUGACAUAAAAUAGAUAGAAUGCCAUGUAAAUUAGGAAGAGGAAGUCUCUCUUUUCCAUAUGAUUCAUUUAGAUGAAGUAGUGACAAUCUUCAGGGCUCAUGAAUACCUAAAGGUUUUCGUUACAUGUGAGCUUGAGUAAUGCGCACAGAAGAGCAACAACGAGAGAGAGAGAGUGUUACAUUGCAUAAAAGAAAUCUGCUCCGGCAGCCAUGUGUCCAAAGUUGUCGACCUUACCUAUCACAAGCAAGAAGCAUGAUAGAUAGCUAUUAGCAAUGAAAAUCUUUAAUUUCAUUCAGAAAGUUCUCCGUAAAAAGUUAUGAUCCAUAGAAGAAAAACUGAAGUCAACAACACAUAGCUUAUAAAGUAUGUACCUUGGAGAUAUGUACCCCAAGACUCCUAUGAAUUCCUGAACAUUGCAGGCAGAUGAAUAUUCCAAGGUUGAUGCUCGCCCACCUCGGGGCCCUGAUAUAUAAAAACAUCAUAAAUUAUUAAAACGCGAUUAGACUAACAAGUUGAAUGAAAGGAACAUGAUUUAUCAUAGGAACACCUUGAAAGACUUAUAUAGAUACAGAACUGUCCAUACAAAAUAUACGAUCAAUAGACGCGAACAUGGUGGAAAGUGCAUUUCUAGCUCAUUUCAUAACCUAUUACAACUCUAGAUUAUCAUCAUAUACCAUUAAUUGCUACAAUCUGGUUGCAGAAAACGCACCUUCCCCGACAAUCUGCACAUUCCCUAUUUUCUGGAAGCUUAAGAAGGCCCUCCAAUAUCUGCAAGCAGUGAAUAACACACACUAAGCUAGAAAAUCACACAUAAACUGCAGAAAAAACCAAUACCGCCAAUGUGAGACUUUUUGUUUUUCUUUAACAACACAUAAAGUGCAGACACCCAGUGCUUAGCAAUCUGGUGCAGGGAUAAUUUUAAUUUUUGGGGCCCAUCAUUGGGUGAGAUGAGCCCUACUCUGAAAUCAUGUUAAAUUAGAUCUUAGCCAAACUCACGUUCCAAAAGGAGGAGGAUUGGUCAAGCGAGUCCACAUUAACCGCCAAUGUGAGAUUCUUUUAACAACUAUUGACAAAGAAUUUGAUUUAAAAAAAUUACUACUACCAAAUCUAAUUCCUCGAUAAGGCAGAUAAAAUUGGGCAUAAUUUAUUCUAAUUCUUCUCCUUAUGAAUUGUAUAUGAUUCGCAAAUUGUAAAAUUCAAAGUAAUCAACACACAAAGCUACAAAUAAACAGGGCUGAUGAUUAACCCUAUACUUUCGUCUCGAAACAUAAACUCACUAAAAUUGCAACAUAAUAUAGAGAACGUAAAAUAUUGAAUCCAUAAAAUUUAAAUCUCGAUGAUCCGCAAUUCCACAUAGAUAGAAACAGAGGAUAAUCAUUACCUUAGCAUGUUUGGCAUUAAGCUCCUUAGAAACGGAAGCCUUGUCGUUCAUGGCUGCUGAUUAAUUUGUUACAAAAAAAAAAAACAAGGCCUAAGCAACAAGAAAGAAAAAGAAAAAAAAAGAGAGAAAAAAAUAAUAAUCUCCCUCUCUAGAAGAUGUGGUGUGAUGUAAUAUCUAUUUUUUUUUCAUCACACAUUCAAAGGAAACAGUUUUUUUGCAUCCCCAUAAAAACGCGCUUGUUUUUCUAACGGCAACUCUAAUCUUAACCCAUAAACUCCAAUCUCUCUCACACAACAAGCACGUAUUACAAAUAUAUCCAUUAUUUUGUUUACGUCAAAUCAUAUUAAUAUAGUGCUCAUCUAUUUCAUAUUAUAUCUACCUGAUAUUACAUAUUUUUUUAAAAAAAUUAAUAAGAAAUGUAUUUUUGAAUUUUUAUGUUUGACUAUAUACUUUACAUAGUUAUACUUAAUUUUGAAAAUAUAUUUCUCUCUUACCAUAUAUUUUAGGACUACUUAAUUAUUAAUUUUCUUAAUAUGUCUCGCUAUAUAUUUUUAGAAUUCUCUAAUUAUUAGCUUUCCGAAUACCUCUUACCUUAUAUUUUAGGACUAUUUAAUUAUUAACUUUCUAAUACGUCUCACCAUAUAUUUUUUUUGGAAUUCUUUAAUUAUUAACUUUCAUAAUACCUCUUACCAUAUAUAUAUAUUUUUGACUCCGUAAUUUUUAAAAGAGAAAAAAGACAAAUAUAACUCAUACUAUCGUAAAUGGUAUGCAAAUACCCUUCGUUAUACUUUUGGGACAUUGGUGCCCCCUGCCGUCCAAAAACUAGAGCAUAUAUACAUUUUAUACUAACGGACAUACACGUGUCAUAAUCUUAUCCGUCGAUUAAAUAUCGGAUCGACGGGAUAAGAUUGCGGCACGUGUCCCUAUUUAGUCUUCUGUUAGAGUGUAGGGCAUAUAUGCUCUGAUUUUUAGAUGGCAUGGGCAUCAAUGUCCCAAUAGUAUGACGAAAGAUAUCUGCAUACCAUUUACGAUAGUUCGGGGAUAUAUUUAUCCUUUUUCCCUUUUUAAAAAGUAUUUUCUUCUUAUCGUAUAUUUUAAGAUUACUUAUAAUUAAUUCCCAUAAUGCCUCUUAUCUUAUUAUAUUUAUAUUUUAGAAAGGCGAAUGGACUACCGUACACUCUACUGUGCAUUUUAAUUGCAUUAGGGGAAUUUUCAGUAUUUUUUUGAAGAAUAAGGACAUGUGUGAAUGCGGUAGACAUGACAGCUAGUACCACCUCUAUAAAUAGGCAUCAAAAAGCCUUGUUACUCACUCUUGUUCUUUAUCCUCAUCGAGAUGAUUAAAGGAACUCAGAAUUUUUUAUUUCUCCAAAAGUCGGCUAUGGAAAAUCAUCAACUCCUCGGGUAUACAACUUCUGUUUUCCCCAAAAAAUUUGGAAUUUUGGGUCUAUUGACAUUUUAAUUUACUGAUAUUUAUUUUAUUAAAGGCGAAAGAUGAGAAAAAAGAAGAAGAAGUGGAGAUGUGGAUCGCAGUGGGCCCUAUAGUAGAAUAUGUUAAGUCAUACAAUGGUGAUUGUUGUGUGACUGGAUAUCAUGAGAAGCGACCCUUGAAGAUCCUAUUCGCUAUAGGGAGACUAUUCAUAAUUUUAUUGGUGAAUCCCUAGCAGAUAAGUUGGGUUGUGUUUCAUAUCCAAUCAAGCCUCGAACUGUUAAUAACUCAGCUUUUGGGAAACUAGUCACUUCUAGAGCAUGCAAAAACUUUCAAUUCUCAGUGCAAGGAGUUUUGUUUAAUGUGAAAUUUUGUAUCUACUUCCAUUGUCCUCAAAUUGUGAGAUUGUAUUAGGAAACCAAUGGAUGUGAACCCUUGAGAAUUUUACCGUUGAACAUAACGGUGUGGUGUUUUACUCCGGAGGUAAGAAACACUACGUGCAUUUCAAUGAAACAGUUGAUGAAGAUGAAGGCAGCAAGCUAUGAGAGUCCAUUGAGUUUUACUAUAUGUUUUUGCGGUUUUUAGGGUUGAUCUCUUCCUCAAACCUCCCAUUAUGUUUCUAUAAGAUAAUAUAAUAGUGUGUGGAUUUAAGCUAUAGUUUUUACUUUCACCAAUAUUCUAUUUAUGCAGAGGAUUUACUUAUAAUCAUCCUCAGUUGAUUGUCGUCUACUGCAAUUUAUGAAGUCUUGAGUUUUUCCUGAGUUCUUGCAUUAAUUGGUAUUGCCUCUAAUGAGACAUGGAAGCACUUGGAAGGAAAUUCAUAUUGAACUUGUGAAAGUCAUAUAUGAGUUCGAUUAAAUGGAGUUUAUGGACUAAGCCACCAUCUAGCCGGAAAAUUUGAAAGUAGAAAUAUUUAUUAGUGAAUUUGUUCGCGUUUUAUGCAUUAUAAGUAAUGGUAAAACAUCAAUAUAGUUUUAUUAAAUCUAAUACAGAUAAAAGAGAAAACAUUAAGUUAAUAGUUAGCAGGCUUCUAAUAAAGUUAUGCAAAAGUUAUAAGUUACUAUAUUGAUACAAAUUUCUUUUUAAUAAACUUACAAAAAUUGAAAAUUCAUAUAAAUAUAAAAUAAUGAGAAAUAAGAUAGAUAAAUAAAAAAAAUGCAAAAUUAUCUAUUCAACCUUCAUCAUUAAAAAACCGAAGAAAAAAACGAAAUCAAUGCAUAAUUUUAUGAGAUUUCAUCGAUAUUCAUUCCAACAAACAUAUUACCACUCAAUAAACUUCGUCUUUAUUCUUCAGCUCAAAUUAAAGCAUGAACACAAUAAGCAUCAAUAACACAACACAAUAGGAGAAAAAAAAAAUUAUACCUGAAGAGUUGAUGAGUUUGAUCUAUAGCCGGUAGACAAAUCUUUCUCUUCUUUCAUUGAAGUCAAUUCGUUAGGUUCAUCCAACUUUUCAUGUUUGACCUUCACUUUCUUCAUGUCAAUGACAACAUCUGAGUUUCUUUUAACCAUCUCAAUGAGGAAAAAGAAGAGUGAGUAAUAGGAUUUUUCGACGUCCAUUUAUAGCUGUCAUGUUCACCGCAUUCACGCUUGUCAUUGUUCUUUGAAGAUAACCUUUCAUCUUUUUCUUUCCAUUUAUGUCAAAAUAGUUCUCAUUGAACAAUACCAAUUUUUCCUUCUUUUUUCCCUUAAAAAUGGAUCUGUUAAUUUAAAUCAUUCUAAAUCAAUAUCUUUGACCCCUAUAGAAUUGUGGAUUAGAUGUAAGUUUUAUCCGAAAUAAGGUAAUUAUUAAUUCAAAUAUCAAAUUUUUUUAAAAAAUGAUAAUUAAUAAAUUAUGUUCCUAAAAAUAAAUUUGUUUAACAAGAACUAAAUAAAGAAAUAACAAAAGAGUAAUUUGAAAAAAAUUCAACAACAUCAUCUAACCGAUAAAUCAAAAUUAAUGUUUCAUUGCAUUUAAGUAGUGAGAGAAACAGUUAAUAUACAUAAAGUUGAGUGAAGAACACCACAUGAAAUCGUUAAUAUUUCAAGACUAAGGGUGUGUUUGGUAUGAAGGAAAACAUUUUCCGGAAAAUGUUUUCCAAUUUUCUCAUGUUUGGUUGGGCUAAAUGUUUUGGAAAAUGUUUUUCAAAUCAACUCAUUUUCCUCAAAUUUAAGGAAAAUGACUUCCCUUCAAAACUUAUGGAAAACAUUUUCCAAAACUCUCUUUCAACUUCAAACCUACCCCCAACCAUCCCCCCUCCAAAAUAAAUAAUUUUAAGUUUGAUUUCAAAAAAUAUUUCAAUUUCAUUUUUUUCACCCUUACCCUUGACCCCCCAACCCCCCUCCUACCCAGCCCCCCACACCCACCCACCCCUNNNNNNNNNNNNNNNNNNNNNNNNNNNNNNNNNNNNNNNNNNNNNNNNNNNNNNNNNNNNNNNNNNNNNNNNNNNNNNNNNNNNNNNNNNNNNNNNNNNNNNNNNNNNNNNNNNNNNNNNNNNNNNNNNNNNNNNNNNNNNNNNNNNNNNNNNNNNNNNNNNNNNNNNNNNNNNNNNNNNNNNNNNNNNNNNNNNNNNNNNNNNNNNNNNNNNNNNNNNNNNNNNNNNNNNNNNNNNNNNNNNNNNNNNNNNNNNNNNNNNNNNNNNNNNNNNNNNNNNNNNNNNNNNNNNNNNNNNNNNNNNNNNNNNNNNNNNNNNNNNNNNNNNNNNNNNNNNNNNNNNNNNNNNNNNNNNNNNNNNNNNNNNNNNNNNNNNNNNNNNNNNNNNNNNNNNNNNNNNNNNNNNNNNNNNNNNNNNNNNNNNNNNNNNNNNNNNNNNNNNNNNNNNNNNNNNNNNNNNNNNNNNNNNNNNNNNNNNNNNNNNNNNNNNNNNNNNNNNNNNNNNNNNNNNNNNNNNNNNNNNNNNNNNNNNNNNNNNNNNNNNNNNNNNNNNNNNNNNNNNNNNNNNNNNNNNNNNNNNNNNNNNNNNNNNNNNNNNNNNNNNNNNNNNNNNNNNNNNNNNNNNNNNNNNNNNNNNNNNNNNNNNNNNNNNNNNNNNNNNNNNNNNNNNNNNNNNNNNNNNNNNNNNNNNNNNNNNNNNNNNNNNNNNNNNNNNNNNNNNNNNNNNNNNNNNNNNNNNNNNNNNNNNNNNNNNNNNNNNNNNNNNNNNNNNNNNNNNNNNNNNNNNNNNNNNNNNNNNNNNNNNNNNNNNNNNNNNNNNNNNNNNNNNNNNNNNNNNNNNNNNNNNNNNNNNNNNNNNNNNNNNNNNNNNNNNNNNNNNNNNNNNNNNNNNNNNNNNNNNNNNNNNNNNNNNNNNNNNNNNNNNNNNNNNNNNNNNNNNNNNNNNNNNNNNNNNNNNNNNNNNNNNNNNNNNNNNNNNNNNNNNNNNNNNNNNNNNNNNNNNNNNNNNNNNNNNNNNNNNNNNNNNNNNNNNNNNNNNNNNNNNNNNNNNNNNNNNNNNNNNNNNNNNNNNNNNNNNNNNNNNNNNNNNNNNNNNNNNNNNNNNNNNNNNNNNNNNNNNNNNNNNNNNNNNNNNNNNNNNNNNNNNNNNNNNNNNNNNNNNNNNNNNNNNNNNNNNNNNNNNNNNNNNNNNNNNNNNNNNNNNNNNNNNNNNNNNNNNNNNNNNNNNNNNNNNNNNNNNNNNNNNNNNNNNNNNNNNNNNNNNNNNNNNNNNNNNNNNNNNNNNNNNNNNNNNNNNNNNNNNNNNNNNNNNNNNNNNNNNNNNNNNNNNNNNNNNNNNNNNNNNNNNNNNNNNNNNNNNNNNNNNNNNNNNNNNNNNNNNNNNNNNNNNNNNNNNNNNNNNNNNNNNNNNNNNNNNNNNNNNNNNNNNNNNNNNNNNNNNNNNNNNNNNNNNNNNNNNNNNNNNNNNNNNNNNNNNNNNNNNNNNNNNNNNNNNNNNNNNNNNNNNNNNNNNNNNNNNNNNNNNNNNNNNNNNNNNNNNNNNNNNNNNNNNNNNNNNNNNNNNNNNNNNNNNNNNNNNNNNNNNNNNNNNNNNNNNNNNNNNNNNNNNNNNNNNNNNNNNNNNNNNNNNNNNNNNNNNNNNNNNNNNNNNNNNNNNNNNNNNNNNNNNNNNNNNNNNNNNNNNNNNNNNNNNNNNNNNNNNNNNNNNNNNNNNNNNNNNNNNNNNNNNNNNNNNNNNNNNNNNNNNNNNNNNNNNNNNNNNNNNNNNNNNNNNNNNNNNNNNNNNNNNNNNNNNNNNNNNNNNNNNNNNNNNNNNNNNNNNNNNNNNNNNNNNNNNNNNNNNNNNNNNNNNNNNNNNNNNNNNNNNNNNNNNNNNNNNNNNNNNNNNNNNNNNNNNNNNNNNNNNNNNNNNNNNNNNNNNNNNNNNNNNNNNNNNNNNNNNNNNNNNNNNNNNNNNNNNNNNNNNNNNNNNNNNNNNNNNNNNNNNNNNNNNNNNNNNNNNNNNNNNNNNNNNNNNNNNNNNNNNNNNNNNNNNNNNNNNNNNNNNNNNNNNNNNNNNNNNNNNNNNNNNNNNNNNNNNNNNNNNNNNNNNNNNNNNNNNNNNNNNNNNNNNNNNNNNNNNNNNNNNNNNNNNNNNNNNNNNNNNNNNNNNNNNNNNNNNNNNNNNNNNNNNNNNNNNNNNNNNNNNNNNNNNNNNNNNNNNNNNNNNNNNNNNNNNNNNNNNNNNNNNNNNNNNNNNNNNNNNNNNNNNNNNNNNNNNNNAUAUUUAAGUUUGUUUUUAAAAAAUGUUUUCAAUUUCAAAAAUUAUUUUCUACUCUAGUAAAAAUAAAAGAUAUUUCUCAAAAAUAUUUUUCAUUCAUAAAUCAAACACUAAAAAUCUUUUCCAGAAAAUAUUUUCUAAUCACCAACCAAACAUGAGAAAAUAAGUCAAAAAUCAACUUGUUUUCCAAGAAAACAUUUUCUAGGAAAACAUUUUCCUUCAUACCAAACACACCCUAAGUAAUUAAAAAAAUAUUAAGACUCAAGAAUAUGAUAGUGUGAUCAUAAUAGUGGUAAUACUUCCUUGCAGUGAGAAAGUAGUAACCAAGAUCGUUCUGGUGUACACUCUUGAGAGAGAUUUAAGAGGAAAUUCUUGAAAAUUUUGUACAUAAUCAGUCAAUUACAACAAACACUACUAGGCGAAGUUGCAUAAAAAAUGUAACUUAGCAACUUGUUUUGAGAAAAAGAGUUUAUUAAUUAGCUAACACACUUGAUUUAGAAAUUUGGCUCUAUUGUCGUCAAAUUGUGAGAUGUAUCAGAAAACCAAUGAAUGUGGAUCCUCGAGAAUUUUAGCUUACGAUAUGGGGUUUAACUUCGGAAUUGGAAAUGAGAAACACUUUGUGAGUUUCAACAAAUUAAAUCAUAUGAUGAAGAUGAACGCAACGAGCGUUGAGACUCCAUUGAGUUUUACUAUUAAAGCUUCUUUGGUGGAAGACUACUCUUGUCACCAACUUAACACUAACGAGACAUGAAAGCAUCAGAAGGCAAUUCAAAGUGCACUUGUCAAGUCAUACACUCUACUAGUUUUGUUCUGAGUAGAUUUUAAAAUUUUGUCUUCUAAUUUUCUUCAAGUCCAUAAAAAAAAUUGGCUCCUCUUUAUUACUACAUCUUUACUCCAUUUCAUCAAAUACAUAUAUUUUUAGAUGUGUGACACUUGUCAUAUUUAAAAUUUAUAAAUGUAGAUUAAAUUAAUUUAACAAAUCUUUAAUUAAUCAUAGUUAAAGAAUGAGUUAGGGAAAAGACUCACCAAUUUUUUUUUAUCUUCCACAAAUUUUGCCUCCAUAUUAAUAUCAUUAUUUUCAUAAUAUAUGUUUUGCAUCCCUCAUAAAUAUCUUUGUCCUAAUCUAAAUUCAAGAAGACUCCCCGUUUUUAUCUUUUACUAUUAGCUAACCAAAAAUAAAAUGUAAUGAUUAAAAAUGAGUAUAUAUUUGACUACUAUUUUAACUACAUUUGCAGGGGCAUUUCGGUAAUGUUUGAAGAGUAAGGAAAGGUGUGAAUGUGGUGGAACAAUUCAUUAAUGGUUACCUCAAGAGCAUGAGAAGCAACCUUUGAAUGUUUUAUUCGCUAUAGGGGGGACUACUCACAAUUUCAUUGAUGAAUCCCUGGCAGAUAAGCUAGGUUGUGAGUCUUACCUAAUCAGGCCCUGAGUUAUUAUCUCGGGUUUUGAAAGAAUGGUUACCUCAGCAUGCAAAAAAUUUCAAUUCUCGGUGCAAGGCAUGUUAUUUACAGUGAAGUUGCGUUAUAUCUUGUCCCAUUAUCCUCAGAUUGUGAGAUUGUAUUAGGAAAUCAGUGGAUAUGAACUCUUGAGAAUUUUAUCUUUUAACAUAAUUUUUGCAGUUUUAUACUUCAGAGGUAAGAAACACUGUGAAUUUCAAUGAAUCAGUUGAUGAUGAAGAUGAAGACGACAAGCAUCGAGAGUCUGUUGAGUUUUACUGAAUAUUUUUCCUAAAGGGGUUUUUAGGGUUGAUUUCUUUGUAAAAUCUCCUGUUAUGUUUCAAUAGGAAAAUAAUAGUGUGUGGGAAUAAGCUAUUAAGCCCACUAGUUUAUGUUUUUUGCAAUUUUCUGUUCAUGUUACUUGUAGUCAUCCUUAGUUAAUUAUUGUCCAUUGCAAUUUUUGAAGUCUAUUGAGUUUUUCCUAGUUCUUGUAUUAAUUGUUAUUGCCUUUUUUUUUUAGGGUAUGGUCGAACGAAAAAAUAAAAUAAUUCUUUUAUAUCAUUCAUUGCUUAAGUCAGCAAUUUGUUUUUCAUAUCCUUAAAUUCAUUACUCCAUUGUAUAAAAAAAUUAUAUAUAUAUAAUCCUCAAUAAUAAUAUGUUUUACAAUAUAUUUUUAUUUUAUCAUAUAUUUUGGGAGUCUUAAUUAUUAAUUUUCCUAUUAUAUCGUAUCAUAUAUUUUAAGAUUCCUUAUAUUUUUAAAUAUAUUGUCUUCUUAUCAUAUAUUUUUGGAUUCCUUAUUAUUAAUUAUCUUAAUGCCUCUUUAUCAUCUAGUAUAUAAAUCCUUAGUUUUUAUUAAUAUAUUUGACUACUAUUCUGAUUGCAUCUGCAGAGGCAUUUUCAAUAUUUUUUGAAAAAAUAAGAAAAUGUUUUAAUGAAGUGGAACAUUGUAACUAGUACUACCUCUAUAAAUAGGCAUCGAAAAGCCCUCUUACCCACUCUUGUUUUUCCUUAUCGAGAUGGUUAAAGGAAAUUCAGUAAGCUCUGUUUGGAGCCCUACUAGCUUUUUAUCACUAUUAAUUUCGCUUUGUCGGCCCUUUCAUCAUGUCUUGGAUGUUGUUGUGACCUCGUCGGUCCAGUAUCUUGUUGUUUCAGCAAGUUAUUGUAGCGACCUUAUCGAACCUCGUUUUAUCAUUUUCUUUAUGUUUCAGUUGGUUGACUCGAUCAAGUGAGGCACCGGGUACCUGUCGUGCCUCCCCUAGUUUGGGGCGUGAUAAAAUACUUUGAUGAUGAUGAAGAUGGAGGCAGCACUAGUUUAUGUUUUCUCCUAUUUUCUGUCUAUGUGGAGGAUCUACUUGUAGUCAUCCUAAGUUGAUUGUUGUCCAUUAAAAUUUAUGAAGUCUAUUUAGUUUUUCCUGAGUUCUUGCAUUAAUUAUUAUUCCCUCUUUUUUUGUUUCUUUUUAUGGGUAUAGUGGAACGAACAAACUAAAUAAAUAUUUUAUAUCAUUCAUUGCUUAAGUCUGCUGAGAGAAAGAUUUUUCACAUCCUUAAAUUAAUUAUUCCAAAGUAUUAAAAAAAAUAUAAUUAUAUUUUUUAUUUGUUAAUGCCUCUCUUUAAACAUGUCUAACCAUAGUCGUAUUGGUCUGCAAAAUAUAAGUUUUUAUAACCAAUAUACACUUUAUAUAGUGAUUUAUUUAUUGAGGUCAAAAAGUAAUUUAACAUCAUCUUAAUCUGCGAAAUAGACUAUCAAAUAGAUUAGGAGAAAUUGAUUAAAUUUAUCACAAAGAAAGUUGAACCCAAAUAAACUCUAAACAAUUUCAAAUCAUAAUUAUCUUUGAUUUAUGUACACAUUCAAUCGAGAAGUCAAAAUUGAGAACCAACAACAAGAAUAUCAUCUAAUAUGCACCUUAUAAAAUAAAAAUUAUUGUACAGAAAAAUAGCUCUAAAAAUAAAAUGUACAGUAAUUAUUUUCUUAAUAUGUUUAUAUGACAUCUAAAAAUAUUAAUUCAAAUACUUUAAUUUUUAAAAUAUUUAUACUAUUAAUUGGAAACACAUGUGCAACGCACGUGCUCGAUAACAUAUAUAUAUAUAUAUAUAAAUCUUCAAUAAUGAUAGAUUUUACGAUAUAUUUUUAUUUUAUAUAUAUUUUAGGACUCUUAGUUAUUAACUUUCCUAAUAUGUCAUACCAUAUAUUUUAAGACUCCUUAAAUUUAUAUAAAAAUAUAUUUUCUUUUAUCAUUUAUUUUAAGAUUCCUUACUAUUAAUCCUCUUAAUGCCUCAUUAUCAUAAAUUACAGAAAUCCUUAAUUUUGAAAAAUAUAUUUGACUAGUAUUCUGAUUGCAUUUGCAGGGGUAAUUUUAGUAUUUCUUAAAGUAUAAAGAUAUGUAUGAAUACGGUGGACGAGAUUUGACUACUAUUAUGAUUGCAUUUGCAGGGGCAUUUCGAUAAUUUUUAAAGAAUAAAGACAUGUGUGAAUGUGGGGGAACAUUGUAACUAGUACUACCUCUAUAAAUAGGCAUCGAAAAGGCCUACUAGUCACUCUUCUUCUUCCUUAUCGAGAUGGUUAAAGGAAACUCAGUGAAAAUAACAAACUAAAUUAGUAUUCUAUAAUAUCAUUCAUUGCUUAAGUUCGCUGAGAAAAUGAUUUUUCAUAUCCUCAAAUUCAUUACUCUAAAGUAUGAAAAAAUAUGUAUAUAUGUUAGUUUCUCAUCACGUGCGUUGCACGUGUAUACCAAAUAAUAUAGAACAUAAAUGUAAAUUAAUAUCAAUAUUAAUUUUUAAGUAAAUUAUUGUAUAUCAAAAGAAUAAAAUACAAUUUUUCAUAACCAAUAUACACUGUUAUAUAAUAAUUUAUUUAUUGAGGUCGAAAUAAUUCAAUAUCAUCUUAAUCUGUGAAAUUAGAUUAUCAAAUAGAUUAGGAAAUAAUUAAUCAAAUUAAUCAAAAAGAAAGUUGAACCCAAUUAAUCCCCAAUAAAUUCCAAAUCAUAAUUAUCUUUGAUUUAUGUACACAUUCAACUGAAAAGUCAAAUACGAGAACCAACAACAAGAACAUCAUCUAUUAUGCACCUUAUAAAAUAAAAAUUAAUGUACAAAAAAAUCGCUCUAAAUAUAAAAUGUUGUUAUUUUCUUAACAUGUUUAUAUGACAUCUAAAAAAUUUAAUUCAAAUAUUUUAACUUUUGAAAUAUUUAUACUAUUAAGUGGUAAUACACGUAUUCGAGAACUAAUAUAUAUAUAUAUAUAUAUAUAUAUAUAUUUAUGCAAUCUUCAAUAAUAAUAUUUACAAUAUAUUUUUAUUUUAUCAAAUAUUUUAAGUCUCUUAGUUAUUAACUUUUCUAAUACAUCAUACCAUAUAUUUUACGAUUCCUUAAAUUUUAAAAUAUUUUUUUUAUCAUAUAUAUUAGGACUCCUUCUUAUUAAUUCUCUUAAUGUCUCAUUAUCAUAUAUUAUAGAUAUCCUUAGUUUUGAAAAAUAUAUUUAACGAGUACUCUGAUUUCAUUUGCAACGACAUUUUCAGUAAUUUUUUAAAAAUAAGGACAUGUGUGAAUGCAAUGGAACAUUACAAAUUAGUACUACCUCUAUAAAUAGGCAUCAAAAAGCCCUAUUACUCACUAUUCUUCUUCCUCAUCGAGAUAGUUAAAGAAAACUUAGUGAAAAGAACAAACUAAAUAAAUAUUCUAUAAUAUCAUUCAUCGCUCAAGUCCAUUGAGAAAAAUAUUUUUCUUAUCCUUAAAUUCAUUACUCUAAAGUAUAAUAUAUUUUUUAUUGUGUUGCACGUAUAUACAAAGUAAUAUAGUACAUAAAUGUAAAGUAAUAUCAAGAUUAAUUUUAAGCAAAUUAUUGUGUACCAAAAGAAUAAAAUAUAAGUUUUCAUAACCAAUAUACACUGUUAUAUAAUGAUUUAUUUAUUGAGGUCGAAAUAAUUUAAUAUCAUCUUAAUCUGCGAAAUUAGACUAUCAAAUAGAUUAGGAAAAAUGGAUUAAAUUAAUAAAAAAAAAGUUGAACCCAAUUAAACUCUAAUCAACUCCAAAUCAUAAUUAUCUUUGAUUUAUGUACACAUUAAACCGAAAAGUCAACUAUGGAACCAACAACAAAAACAUCACCUAUUAUGCACCUUAUAAAAUAAAAAUUGAUGUACAAAAAAAUCGCUCUAAAAAUAUAAAUUUUAAUAAGAAAAAUCUCAUGUUCCACAAAUUUUGGCUCCUUAUUGAUACCAUUAUUUUCAUAAUAUAUAUUUACUUCCCUUAUUAUACCAUUGACCUAAUCUAAAUUCAAGAAUACUCUCCGUUUUAUUUUUUAUAUUAGAAGAGAUAAACUUUAUAAAUAUUGUAAAACAUUUUAUAAAAUAAUGUGAGAUUGUGGAAGAGUAAAUGUGUUUAUAUCGUGCAUGGGCGUGGGACGUGGGAAAGAAAAUAGAGUGGUGGUACUUAAUUUAGCAAAUUAUUUGUUUUGUAUUUCUCAACUUCCUUUUUUUUUUCCCUCCUUUUUUGUGUUUCUCUAUUUCAAAAAAAAAUAAAAUACUCCAUAUGAAUAUGAUUAAUUAAUGACUCUAAAUAUUAGAAUGUGUGCUCCUCGAAUUAAGUGGAUCAAACUAUCCAUUUUUUGUAGUUUUUUCCUAAAAAGCUCUUGAUUAACCAAACACUUUACUUGUAGGUGUUUCUAAUUUUUCAGUGAGUAACUCAUUUUUUACUCUUUCUGAAUAUAUUAAAUAAAUAAAAAUUCAAUUAAAAAGCUCGUUUCAACCUGAUCAUAUGAAGAAAGUAAAUAAUUAGAGUAUAAUUGUAAUCUAGUAUCUGAAAAAUUACACAGUUGGUAUAAUUAAGUAAUUAACUAUGCAUCGAAAGACAGAGGCAGAGCUAGUUGGAGGUUUAUGGUCGGACGAAUCCAAUAAUUUUUCCGUAGAUCAUAUAUUUGUAUAGAAAAUUAAUCAAAAUAUAUAUGUAUAUUAAUUUGUAAACCCCUAAUAAAAUUGAAUGAUGAUAAAGUAAUGUCAUUUCGUGAUGGAAUAUCAAAUCUCACUUGGUCCUUUUCAUAGUCGAUUGAGUUUCGUGCAGCGAAUUGAAAAAAAAGGUGAGGGACAUUUCAUCGCACAAGAUUCAUGUCACCUAGAAUUAUUUCUGUUCACUUUUACUUGUAAUGUUACAUUUUUCAAAAAAAUGAUUUAACUAUUUUUUCAAGUUAAAAUAGAUUAUAUUAAUUCAAUAUUUUAAACUAAAAAUUUAGAUUUUUAAAAUUAUACGGAAAGUACUAUAAAUUGCAAUUUUACAUCAUAAAAUAUUAGUCAAUAUUCUUAUUGUUUGACUCUGAAAAGAAAAUCAUGACCACUAAAAAGAGAAGGAAAUAUGAUUUACAACUCAAAUAUGAUUUGAGAAUUGUUAUACAUAAACAAGUUUAUUUAAUGCACACUUAAAAGAAGGGAAAAUUGUAUGAAAUAGCAAUUUAUUAAUUCAAAUUAAAUGUUAUAGCCAUAGUUUAUUUUAAUUGUAAUUCACAGCAAAACAUCAGAAAAGUGUAUAUAUAAAUACAAAUACAUAUAUUUUUUCGUCAUAUAUACUUAUAAUUAUACAAAUACAAAUCUUAUUAUACAAAUUACAAUGUAUAAAUGAAUUUAUAUAAAACUGAACAAUUUGUAUAAAACUGGAUGUUUUUAACGAAUUAUACAAAUAAAAAAUUCCAUAACAAACAAAAAAUUUAUUAUGGAGCGUAAUAAUGUAAACUAUAGCUAUAACAUACAAAUAUGAUUUUUAUGUUUGCUAUAUGUGAAAAUUGCUCUUAAAAUAAUGACGGUGGCGAGUAAUUUCCAAAAAGAAAAGAAGUUUGAAUAAACAUAUUUGUACGUUAUAUACAUCUGAGGAACAUUUUAUAAGCAUUUUCUCCAAGUAGAUACUCUCUUCGUUUUAAAAAAAUACCUACGCUAAAACUUUAAUACUAAAUUAAUAGAGACGGACUUAAGAAAUAUUAUUAUUUAUACAGGGAUCUUCUGAAAAAUAUAUUAUUUUAUCGAAAUUGGUGAUUUUUUACAUUGACCCAAGUGGGACAAAAUGAAAAUAUUAUCUUGAAAAAAUUAUUAAUUCACUAAGUAUUAAUUUAAUGAGACUUUACUCUACUUUUUUUUCAGUCCGUUUUAAAAAAAAUGAUUUUUCUUUUCUAAUAAAACUUUAAUUUCAACUUUCCAUAUGAUAUGUUUAAAGUCAUAGAUCACAUGAU